rnacentral:lncRNA from 1 species
CAAAACAAACCCACUAAGAUGGCUUCCUUUGUAUCCUUCCUAGUGCUGCUUCUUGCAGCCCUUAUCCUCAUGCCUCAAGGGCUUGCUACUUACUACAAACCAAUUAAGAAGCCACCAGUGUACAAGCCUCCAGUGUACAAGCCACCAGUGUACAAACCACCGGUUUAUAAGCCAAAACCACCGGUUUACAAGCCGAAACCACCGGUUUACAAGCCACCAUAUAAGAAGCCACCAUACAAGAAACCACCUUAUGGAAAGUACCCUCCAGUAGAGGACAACACCCAUGCCUAAAGCAAGCAAUGAGGUCUAUUAUCUACUUAAUAAAUAAGAGGAACUGCUUUGUGUUUUCUAGCAUUGUGACUUACAACUUCGUAGCAAUGCAUAUUCUUGACUCUUGCAUGCACUUCAAUCCUUCGUAGCAUUAAUGAUGUGGCCAAGUCAUCAUGAGCAUCAUACUUAUUUCUUUGUGAAUGUAAAUCAAAAUUAUAAGAGAGAAAAUGGUGCUUUUGUACUACAGAUUACUAUAAAUAAAAAACUUUUAUGGUUUUCAGAUUGUGCUGGUUGAUUGAUUUGCUCUACCAUUAAUUAUGACGAAACGUAGUUUUUUUUUUUCUCUUUUUUAAUCCGUAAAAAUAAAAAAAAUAAAAAAAUAAAUUUAUAAUAAUUCACACUUUAUUUAAUUAAUCGAAAUAAAUUCCAUAAUAGAUGAUACAUAGUUUGACAUACUAUUGUUAAGCUUAAGAUUAAAGAUCGACCCUAUGUUGCAACUAAACUUUCUACAAUCAAUUUUAUAAAUUGGAUUGGUGCAUGUAAGUCUAGCUAGCUAGAGGCAGAAGAACAGUACUAGAGUAGUAGAUGGAAGCCACUCUCCACGCACCUCAAAUAACUCGCAAUUAAACUUGAGCAUAACAUCAAUAGCGACUUAAGUUAAUUUCAAUUAUGGGCUCUAUUUGAACAAAUUUCUCUAUAAAUAUUUCCAGAAGAAAAUAUUAAGAAAACAAUAAAUUGAACUUCUCAUUUAAGUUAAAAUAAACAUAUUUGUAUAUUUUUUAUAUAAAAACUCUCAUUUAACUUCUCUUAAAAAUAUUGAAGUAUAUAAAUUAAUUUUAGCUUAUGAAAAAAAAAAUCAACUUAUUUUAAUUUUCUAUUCUUAAAAAGCCAUAGUUAUAGUUAAUGUGUACAAAGACCAGUUCCUACGAGAGUUGCUGUAUCCUCCUAAACCAAAUAUCCGAAUACUCCUACUCAGUAAGAAUAUUUUGAUAUCUGUUAAUAAUUUUAUAAUAAAUUAUUUAUUUAAUUUGACAUUUUAAUAUUUAAUUUCUUUCCAAGUUUACCCCUUUUCCAUAUGACCAGUCAACUUAUCCUCUUCAUUCGACUUUAAAAAGAGUGGGUGGUGGUGCGGUGAAGCUGAAAACCACACACAAUGAUGGUGGUGGAGAAUGUGAAAAUGGUUGUGGUCGGAGAAGGAGGUACAAGGGACAAAGUUAACUGAGGAAAAAAAAAACUCAGCGUGAGAGAGGGUCUUUUGAAAAAAAGGACAAAUUUGGAAAGGAGAAAAAAAGUUAAAAAGUGUGUUAACAAGUGUGAAUGCUUAGGUGAUUCAGUUACUUUUUCGCCACAUAUGAUCGGAGGAAUAAACAUUUCUCUUUUUCAUAUUACUAUUUUUGUAUGUUUGUCUACACGUACAUGUGGACGGUUAUUUGUAUCAAGUAUCAACUACAUAUGGGUGUCAAAAUUUAAAACUGAACCGAAUUUAAUGAAUUGAUUCAACAACUCUAAUAUAUAUGUGAUGUGAUUUGAAUUUUAAUAAUUUGCGUACGAUUUUAAUUUAAUUUUGAACCUACUUCAGUACAAAAAUUUACGUAUAAUCUUACUACAAGUACUUAAGUCACCACAAUCAUCUACACUCACAUCUUGAAAAAGUGACAUUGAUAGCAAAUUCAUGAAGUACUCACAGCUAACGUCAUUUGAUGGUUGAAUGAACCCCUCAGCUACCCAUAGCUGAAUGAGUGUUCUCUUAUCAAACUCAAAACCUUUUGGAAACAAUGAACAAUAAGCAAAACAGUUUUCCAAAAAUGAAGGAAGAUGGUCAAAACUCAGUUUAAGGAUUGCAAAGAUUUUGUCCUUCUCUUGAUCUAUCUUUGAAAACCCAACUUCCUUAGAGGCUAUUACUAUGCGCACCCAGCAUAAUUACUGGUACAUCCAGCAUAACAGCAUAAUUCCCGUUUUGUCCUUUCCUAAAAUUGAUACAAAUUGUCAAUUCAUAUAAGAUUUACGGAUUGUCCAAUCUGUAAGUAGCCCAAAUAUUUUUUUAAUUUUUUUUUUAAAAAAAUAUGUUUUAUGAAUUAAUUUAAAAUUAAUGAUUCAUGCAAGAAUCAAACUUAUAACUUUCACGUUAUUAACACGACAUUCUAACCAAUCUCAAUAUUCUUGUCAACCCUUUUAAGUUAUUUUCUUUAUGUUAGUUUUUAACCGAUGUUGAAAGUGCCGAUGUUGAAUGUAUUAUCGUUAACAUCGGUUUUAAAAAAACUGAUGUUAACGUUAAUUUUACAACAUCGUUUAUUUAAAUAACCAAUGUUGAUAAUAAGAAUUACACCCAAAAAAAUGUAUUAAUGUUGAUAGUUAACAUCGGUUUUUUGGAAAAAUCGAUGUUAACGUAACUUAACAUCGGUUUUUUUAUAUAAAAUUGAUGUUAACGUAUGUGUUAAUGUUGACAGUUAACAUCGGUUUUUUGGAAAAACCAAUGUUAACGUAACUUAACAUCGGUUUUUUUACAGAAAACCGAUGUUAACGUAUGUGUUAAUGUUGACAGUUAACAUCGAUUUUCUGUAAAAAAAAAGAAAACCGAUUUUAACGUACGUUAACAUCAGUUUUUUCCAAAAACCCGAUGUUAACGUAUGUGUUAAUGUUGACAAUUAACAUCGGUUUUUCCAAAUAAUCGAUGUUGUUUUCAGGAUUUUUUUUUAAAUAUUCUCUCUGUUUUUACAAAAAAAACCAAAAUUUAACCUGUAAAUUUAAAAUUAGACCACACAGCAUAUAUGAUUUGCAUUUUGCUUUCAAAUAGGUUUUAGCAGAAAACUAGCUAGUAAACUAUUAAAAUGAAACAUCAAUUGUAAAAAAUGUAAUGCAAAGUACGGUAAACUAAUUAAGUAACCUAAAGUUACAUAGUUCCCUAACAUCCUAUGUUUGAUUUCUAACUUUUAGAUAAUAUUGUGCCCACUGCAUGUGAAGCGCCUUGAAUCUCUCUGCUUCCAAUGAUCUAACAUCAUUAAAAUACUGGAUGAUCAAAUAAAAGAUAAAUUAAUGAUGUAAUAACAAUGAUAAGAAAAUCAACUUUGUUUGAAAUAAACAAUUACCGUUUCUCAAUUAUUCCUGAAAGUUCCUGAGAUUAUCGUGGACAUCUAGUGCAUGACGUAAUAGCUGUACUCAGUGUUUCGUUUUUGUCUAUUACACUAAAUACAUAAUGAAAUUUGGAUAUUAAUUAAGCGUUAACUACAAUUAGUGUACACACACAUAAGCAGUAUAUAUAAUUAGAAGUUUAAUUUAAAUCACGUACCUUAACAACAAUCCACCUAGCCGCAGCCUUGGAUUUAGGUUGUGGAGUAUCAUCAAGUCCUUUCAAAGCACUAUUGAAUACGAGGAACAUUAAAAUAUUGAUGUUGUUGAGUUAUGCUAAUGCAAAUAUAUUGAAAACAACAUUGACCUGUUAAUUAUUCCCUUAAGGUAGUUGUCUGGCCUGUUAUGUAAAGAACAAAACCAGACAACUAGGUUUUCCUUAGGCAAAAUGACGACCAUUUGCCAGUGUCCGCUGCAGUGGAGACGAAUAUGGGCUAUUGUAAUAGUAUAGAUUAUUUAAAUUCAGUUGUUGUGUUUGACUUACCAAUUCAGGUAAGCUCCAAGGUAAACAUCGCGUUUUGAACCCUGCAUCCAACUCUUGAUGUAACUUUUCGAUUCAAAUUGUGAUUGCCCAAAUCUCUGAAUGGACUGUGGCUCGAGAAAUCCAUACACAUCGGAAUUCCCCGCUCACAUACUUGUCUCAGUCAGAUGCCUGUGUUGUUAAGACAAAGUUAAUUAUGUAUGAAUUUAAAACAAUUACUUUGUUAAUUAACAGUAAUCUAAAUUGACUUACAAAAUUCACAACUGUAUAACAGAGAUGCUGAGACAUUGACCACCGUGUGCUAUUUCAUACAGAUCUUCAUGCUUUAUGUACAAGGGAAAGUCUGAAUUAAACAGCCCGAACAGGGAAGCAUCCCACAUAACCUUGAGAGGCUUCAAAAACAAUUGUGGGAUGGUCAAUGUCAUCAGAUGCAGAGGAUCAUCGACCUCACGAUCCGGGCUUUUUGGAGGUUUUGCUAGAGACACAACUGCCUGUUAAUCAAACAUAGUUAAUUAACAAGUUUUGAUUACAGUGAACAAAUCAAUUGAAAAAAAGAAACAUAUAAUCAGAGUAAAAUACCUGUUCUGAUAAACGUUUCACGAGAUGUAUCGGCCAAGCAAGGAAGGUGUUAAGUGUCUGCCCCACUAAGGUAACCUUGUCAAUGGGUACAGGAACGGGAGUCUCUGCAUCUUUAACCUCCUCAACACCAACCUUCACUUGGCCAUGCAACAAAGGGAUGUUAUGAACCACUGUGGAUCCCUCAUAAAGUCUUCCUAGGGCAACCAAGUAGGAAGGAUUUUCUUCAAUUUACAGCCCGCAUUUGUCUGAGUCAUCCGUCUCUGGAUCGUUCCCUGAGGAAUCAACACAACUCUUCUUUGUGCUGACACGAGCACUUGAGGGACCAACCUUUGGCUCCGGAGGCAGUGUAAAUCCCUGUGAUUGCAUCUGAGACUGAAACUGGGACUGCAUUUGGCUGAAGGAUGCCAUCACCUGCUGAGUAACUUUUUCUGUGAUCGACUCCUCCAGCUAGUCCCUGAUUUGUUGGGUUAACUGUUGUAGGUCUUCAGGAGGCAUAGAGGAAGAACUACGGGACAUUCGUGUAGCCAAUCCGAAAUAUUGCUUUAUGGUCACAUCAGCUCCAGCAGCACGGACACGGCCAGGGUGCUCUGAUCGCCCAAUGACAACAGUCAGGACAUCCUGACGUCUAUGGGGGACGAACGAUCCCUGUGACGCCUGCUCCUCCAAAGAAUCCUGUACAUAACACAUAUAUCUGUCCAAGGCAUUCACAAAAUACACAAAGAUAAUUACAAUUCUUAAUUGAAAAUGACUUACAAUCUUCUCAGUUAUUUCCUUUGUUGCCUCAGACGUCAUCGGCCCAGUUUUCUUUGUGUAGACCAUUUUUCACUUCAUGUGGCGUCUGAUGGGAGAUGGAGGGUCAAUGACGCCCUCAGUGCUUUCGGAUUGGGCAGCUUCCUCCAGUCUUUUCUUUGUCUUCUCAGCCAUAAGCUUUUGUUCUAAAUAUUCAUAACCCCCACGAAACAACACGUGGGGGGCAGUGUUUUGCUUCUGGAUGACUUGUGUUUUUUUCCGCACAUCCUGCAAAAAUCGAACAUUAAUGAAAAUGAUUACUACAAUGAAUUAUAAGAAGUUAUUUUUUUUGUGGAAAACAACUAAAAUGACAAACUACAUACCUCCCACGAGGGGUCUCUGCGGGUCUGACAAAACUUGGCCCAUUUCUCCUUGCUAAUGUCGCAUUUUUCACAGACAGUGUCGUCCACACCGUCCUUGUCGGCUGCAAGUGCCCAUUUCCUGGUCAAGUCAGAUUUAAACUGCCUCCACGGCUUGUCGACAGUCUGAAGAAUUUUCUUCUUUGUCCUACUGUUAGAAGCUUCAGGGAUUUCAGAUGUUAAGAUCAAGUAGUUAACAUCGGUUUUGACAUCGGUUUUGAAAAAACCGAUGUUAACUAACUCGACUUAUUUACAAAAAUGUCAUCGUGCUUUUCUUAACAUUGGUUUUUUAAAAAAUCGAUGUUAAUCGUGCGAUGUUAAAUCUAUAUUUUGUAGUAGUGUUUAGGUAUCUCAUAAAUUAGUCAAUUUUAUUUUGAGUUCUUAAAUUUUUUUCUUUUUAUUUGAUCCUUGAUAUUUUAUUUUUGAGUUCAUGCCGUUAAAAAUUUUAAAAUGCAAUUUUUUACUACUAAAAAUAAUAACAAUGUAAAUUUAUUUAAAAUAUUAAAUUACCAUUUAUGGCAAUUCAAUUGGAAAAAAUGAAGUAGAUAUGAUCAAAUAAAACCUUACAGACAAGACGAAGUCUAAGGUGGUCAAGUGAGUUAGGUGAUUUCUGGUGGUCAAAUAAUUUUUUGCCAAUAGAUUUAUUAAUAAAAUAUUAAACCAUUCAGAUGAAAUCUUUUUGUCAGUUUUUAACAAUUAAAAUUAUUUCCUCCCUUGUCUGUCGUGCACCACCAUUGGCAACACGUCACUACCUUGCUUUACUUUCCACUCUUCUUCUUUCCCUCUAUUUCCCUUCGUACUUUGACACCUCCGUAACCUCACUGUCAUGUUGUUGAAUUCACAUCCUUGAUUUUAAUUAUGACAAACCAUUAGCAAAACAAAUUGAAAGGAUGAUGGGUUUAAGUGAUGGCUAACAUUUCUCCCAAGCGUUUUAGUGUUUAUUCCUUAAGAAGCAUAAGUGUUCUUUCAUUCUGAUGUACUUAGAAUGAUGCUUAGAAAGGUUCGAAGAAUUGUUGUGAGAGUUGAAAACUUAGAAGAAUCCUUAAAGCCCAUCAAAAUGAUGAAAUUUGCUUCCCUUUGAAUACUUAGUUCUUGGCAAGAUACUGAACAACCUUACAUAAAAGAUUCAUCAAAAGAUUCAUCAAAGGCUACCAGAAGAACAUCUUGGUUUAGAAUGAAGUUAUGCAGAGUCUACAUAGAAUGACAAACACCUUGACUCUGAGUUUCUAAACAUCAGAAUGAUUCAGAAAGACUCAUAAUGCAUCACUUAAACAAUAUUAGAAGAUUAAAGUUUCACAUUUCUUCACUUUGCAUAUGCCACCACAAUCACUGUAGGCACGUUAGAAAGUAAGAAUUGACUGCAUAAAAAGAUGUAAAAUUGUUGAAUGAUGAAGUUGUCCAUGAGAAGCAUUAAUGUAAACCAUCAGAUUGAAGGACUAAAGAAAACUACUCAGCCUGACCAUAGACAAAACACUAACACACCAACAACUCAAUUUCUACUAAGUCUUUCUAAAGUAAAUCAACUUAAGAAUGUUUCAAAGUUGUGAACAAGUGUUAAGAGUGAUGAAGUUGUACGACUUCGGAUUGAAAUUUCUAUCUAAACUUCGUCAAAGGAAUUCAUUAAGCAUGGACUCAUUCUUUACAAACAUCAUAAUGACUAUUGUGAUGGUUCUUCAGAAUCCGCAUAAAAAAAGUUCCUCAGAAUGGUAAUCUCCAAAUGGUUUUGUCUACUGUCACUUCAUGAUAGUUAUAAGGUGAACCUACUUGCUCCAGAAAUGUUUCAGUUGUGUGGAGCCCACUACAAUGAUUUUCUUGGGAGCUUUAUAAGGAAUUUUAGAAGGCUAUGAAGAACAAGUUGAAGCAUUCCAAAUUUGUAUCACAUUGUGCAAGUCCUUUGAGUAAGAAAUUUGUGUUUUAGCUUCAACCCUCUCUGUUAGAGUGACCCACUUUUGUAUUGUGCUUUCAAAGCUUGUAAUAACCUUAGAUAGAAAUGAGAGAUUAAGUUCUUGAGUGGAAUCCCUCAUGUGAGGUGAAAAUCUUUAGCAUGUGUCGUAAAACCAUAGAUAUUUUUUUUUUAUGUAAAGUCCAAUAGUGACUAGCAAAGGUGAAAUCCAGUGGUGCAGCUGGUCUAGUAGAAGAUUGAAGUCUAGUAAGGAAUUGACAAGGUUGUGAAACCCAAUGGUUGUUGGUCCAGUUGUGAAUUGGUUGUGUUACUGAAAUAACAUCUUUAAGGGUGAGGAUUGGACGUAGCCCAAGGUUGGGGUGAACCAGUAUAAAAACCUUUGUGCACUUUCUUCUCUUUCUCUAUAUUUUGUUCUUGCACAAAUCUAAAACUACUUUUGUAUAAAAUACUAAAUUUGUUAACUUUUUAUCUUAACAACUAAACUAAGUUUUGUUUUAUCAAGAGGUAUUAGUAAAGAACUAUCUUUAAAACAAAAGUCUUAAAACUGCAAAAGAACUAUUUUUUUGAAUGGUUUGCAUUUUCAUUCUGAGUUGCUUGAAUUUCCAUUCUAAGCUCAUAACAGUUUUUAUAUUCUGAACUACCAUAAAAAAAACCUUUUUGUUUUCAAAGGAAGAUUAAAAGUUUUCAAAACCCCAAUUAAACCCCCAUUUUUGGUAUUUUUCUCACUUCAAUUAGCAUCAAAGUUUAAAUGAGUUAUUCACGAGCCCUUAAUGUCAAGCUUUCAAAGCUUGAGUUUGACUCAUUUAAAUAAUCAAGCUUAAUCUCAAGCUUAAAUUUGUUUGUUUAAUUAAACAAAUGAACUUAAAUGAUUAAUUAACAAGUUGAACUUGAAUAGUUCACAAAUAGUUUGUCUUAUUCACAUCCCUAACUCUUCAUUUUUUUAUCCAUAGGAAUUGAAUAAGAUAUAAAAAAAUUUAGAACACUCAGACACCCUGCUUAAUCAACUAAGUUAGACACCUUUAGUCCCUAACUCUUCAUAUGGUUAUAAUCAUAUUCUAGUAACAAUAUGUUUCAUUUCACUACCUUACUAAAUUACAGGACUGACUUCAUUAUUUUGCAACACCCUUUACAUCACAUCAUUCAUUCAUAAAAUUUGCAUUAGUUAAAUAAAAUUAUUCAUCAUCAACAACUAUGUAAUGUAUACCACCAUGCAAUCAAAGGAUAAGCAAUUAAGAAAAUAUUUAAGCUUAUAUAAUCCAAGUAGCAUGAUUGCCUUAAUUGGUACAUAAUGCAAGGCAUAAAAACCAAAAAGUGGCAGUAUGUGUAAUAACAAAAUGAAACAAAGGAAGGAGAAAAAAUUAUUUGUGUGUUACAAAUAAAGAGGAGGAAGAAGGAAUAAUUUAAAAAUAACUCCAUAUAUUAUUUGUUCUAUUAUUUUAUCCAAUGAAUUGUGAAGAAAAUAGAUGCAUUAGUAACUAAUUAUCUAUAAAAUUAUAUGAAUUGGUCCAAUAUAUUAUUUAUUUAUUUUGUAAUUGAAGAAUUUUCUCAUGAUUAACUUAGAUGAAUAAUGAAUAAGUUAAUUAUUUUGUUGCUCCUAAUUUAACCUGGUGUGUCUAUAACUCAUGGUUCAGGUUGACCCAUUCUCUUAAUCUAACUUUGUUUGUUCAUUGAGUUGCUCUUUAAUAUGGGUGGGCUUAUUAUCAACAUGGCCAGUAAUAAUGGGAAUUGAAUCAUGCACUCUCAUAAGUGUAUCCUAGAUCCCACUAUUCCGUUUGAAAUUAUUUGAUUGCCUUUAAUCAAUUAGCACUAUCUUCCCCAACCCAUUCGCGAUGUCUCCCUCCUACGAAGGUUGCUCCCUUCCUCCUUCGUCUCAAACCUGCAUAUCCUCGUUCCCUUCCUUCUUCGUCAUUGAAGGCAAGCUUCUUCCUUUCUGGUGGGGUUGGGGUUGGGUUCUGGUAGGGAUGGGUUUUGGGGGUGGCUUCUGGUAGGGGUGGUUUCCGGUGUGGAUGGGGUCGCAUUUCAAAAUGCUCAUUCUGUAACCAAAAAAUGCUUUCGGAAUGAGCUUUCCAUAAGCAAAAAAAGCUUCAAUUUUUCAUAAGCCAAAAAAACAUUCAGAAUAGUUGUUCUGGAAGUACUUUAGCUUAAGCAACGACUAUUCCAUAAGCAAAUUUGUAAAUCCAAAACAUCCUGUCUAGAAGUGUAUUUUAUAUAUUUUGUAAGGGGGGUUCCAAAAAUUAGUAUUGGGCUUACAAAAAGCCCAUUAUGGAAGCAACAUCUGCAAUCCAAAGUAGCCUUUCCAAAAGUGUAUUUUGCAUCUUUCAAAAAGUACGAUUUUGGCUUAUGGAAUGACCAUUUCGAAAACAAAAUUGCAAUCCAUAAUAGUUUUUUGGGAGUACAUUUUGUACCUUCCAAAUGUUCAUUUGAGACAACAAUAUUUUUACUUACGAAAUAGGUGUUCCAUAAGAUUUUUCCUUCUGAAAUGGUCAUUCCAUAAGUGAAUUUAUCCCUUACGGAAAGCCUAUUUCGGAAACAAGUUUACAACAUGAACGUGAAUGCACGUUAAAAUGUACCUGCAAAGUGGAGAGUUAGAGAAGGAGAGGGACUUUUGCGGUGUUGAGUUGGACUUGCUUUGUACCUUCAAUGGUUGCGAGAAAAAGAGUUGGAGAAGAUAAGAAGAACUGGAAAAGGGGUUUAGACUUGCGCUAUAGGAAGAGAAGAACGAGAAUGGGCUGCAACUACGAGAGAAAGAAGGGAAACCGAGGAUGAGGAUAGAAAGGGUAGGUUGGGGUUUAUUAAAAAAUGGGAGAUGCAUGAUACAUUUAGGGAGGUGCAGAAUUCCAGUAAUGACCAACUCAAGUCCAAUUAAUGGUGACAUCAUAAGUUAAUGACUUAGUGUCACUUUUGAUCCAUUAUGUUUCGCAAUUAUUUUGUUUUAAUACAUUGAGUUUAAAAUGUUUCAUUCCAAUCCUUUAUGUUUUUGAAAUAUAUUGUUUUGACUCUUUUUCUAAUUUUCUAUUUGAAAUGUUAGUUUUUUGUUAAUAUUUAAAUUUCAAAAUAAUUAAUUUAUGACAGUGGUGAUUAAAAAUCGUCACAAUAUUUAAAUUAAUUAUCUUAUUAUAAAUAUAAUUAUUUAAACAUUAAUUGUAGCAAUUUUUAAUUCCAACAAAUUUCUUAUUAAAUUUUUAUAAAUGAUUCUUCAUCCUUGAAGAUUCAAUCUUCAUUCCACAAAUCAACAAAUGCAGUUUACAAAUAGCAAGAACAAUUUUUAUUUGCAAGAAACAUAGAGAUGUUCACUCAAUAAUGAUAUAAAACUUGUUCUUUUUUACACAACAAAACACAAUGAGCCCUUUUUUUUUUUAUCACAUAUGACGAAAGCAACAGCUCCAGGGUCAUUAAUUAGCUUUGCAAACGGGAUCUGAUAAUCACAACCGUGGUUGAUAAUCCUCCAAUGUAAUUUGUGUUUAUAAAUUUUAUUUUUUACUCCUUUAUAUACUAUUCAUUUUCUAAAAAAGAUUACUCAUGUAUGUAACUAAAGAUUAUAUUUUUUGUUUCUGUUUAAAAAAAUGUUUUCUUAUGUUAAUUUUUUUUCUUAAUCGAUGCUUUAAUGAUAUAAGUAAUUAACUAUUUGCUCCUGCAAUGUAGUUUAAGUGUUAUGCUACAUUGUUAGUUUUUAUAUAUGCAUGUGGGAAGGUUCACUUGGAACAAGUUGCAGUGCAAACUUGGAGUCUAAUAUACAUAUAACCAUUAAUGGAAGCCUUCAUUCCAAUAGACAAUAUAUAUAAGUUGUUUCGUGCUUAUAAAAUUGUAAUGUUUUUUGUAAAGGAUGUUUAAGUGUGUCAAAUAUGUUAUAGCAAGGCAAGGUACGUAGCAGUAAACUUUAAAUGAUGAGUCAAGCAUUUCCAGUAAAUCUACUCUAAUUGCAUGUUUACAUUGAAAUUUUAAAGUAUUAUUCAUUUUAUGUUAGUAGUCCUACAGCUGGCUACUAGCUAGCAUGAAUGUUUAUGUUGUUAUUUUGUGGAGAAAGUCAAAUAAUUGUUUUAGGUGAUUAAUUUCACGCAUUUAGAUAUGGAUGCUGAAAAUUCUUAAGUCAGACUUUGAAUUGUUUCAUGUUCAUAUUAAUAUUCAUAUAAAGAGAUAAACAAAUAUGUAACUUAGCUCUAUUUUUGUUUUGGUGAAUUAGCUCUAUUUAUUAUAGUCUAAUAAUAAUGGCUGCAUGUUGGACUAAAUAGCAGAAAUAUACUUUGCGGAGAUCAUUAAUUGUGAUCAAAAUUGUGGCAUUUUUUUAUUACCACUCAUAAAAUUAUCACCAUGAAAACCCUACUAAUUACGCAUUUAACGAUCCUCAAUUAUUUCAGUAAAAUAAAUUUUUGUCUACCUUAAUUUUUUUUUUCUGUAAAAUUCUCCUAUAGUUAAAUUUACAAUAGAAAUUUUCAAACGAUACUUUUUUUAAGUAAAUAAUUAAUUAAAUUUAUGCAAAAUAAUUAAAUUAGGUCAUAUCAAAUUUAAUAUGAAUUAGAUUAUUAUUUUAAUACUUAUUUACUUACAUAAAAAUAUUUAUUUUUUAAAAAAUAUAAUUAUUCACAUGAGAUUUAUAGCAAAUAAUUUUUUAACUUAAUAUUUUUAUAACUUAUUACAACUUUUUUAAACAUUAUACACCAUUGUUUUAUUUUUUGCAAUUUAUUUUUCUGUAGUUAAGGUACAACUUUGAUGAGGAAAAUGGACCAAUAUUAUAGAUAAAUCACAUUAGUCAAAAAAAUGUGAAUAAGAUGAUUUAUUAAAAAUCAUAUCACCAUUAAUUUAAUGUUUUAUAUAAAAGACAGGUUUGAUAAUGAGUUUAUAGUUUAGGAAAUUUAAAUUAAGUGAAGGGUAAAAUGUCAUGAAUAAGUUUGAAAAUUCAUAUCUUAUUUUUAGGUAUUGAGAGAAGGAUAAUGAAUUUUAAUGAUUUUAAUAUUGUUUAUUUGAAUUUGUGCAUUCGUUCAAUGAAUUUUAUUUUUCAAUAAAAAUAUCAAAUGUAGAAAAUAAAAUAAAAGAUUUUUUCUUUUUCACUAUUUUGAUUCUUAAUUUCAUAAAUAUUUUAAAUAAAUUUUAUAUUAAAAUUAAAAAUAUAAUAAAAAUAUUUGUUUUAAUCAAACGUGUUUUUAUUUUUUAUAUGAUUUUGAAAAGAAAUUAAAAGAGAGAAAAUACAAAAUUUUACUCACAAUAUAAAUUUUUUUCAUGAUAUAAAAAAAGAAAAUAGGAUUAAUAAAAUUUUGUAUGAUAAAAUAAUUAAUAGUAAAUUUAUUUAUUCUUUCUUUUACUUAUCAUUAUUUUAAAAAUAUAUAAAAUUUCAUCAAAAAUAAAUAUAUUGUAAUUCUUCCUCAAGUUAAAUGAUAUAUAAAGUUAUAUUUUCUUAACUCUAAUUUUUCUUUAUAUAUAUAUAUAUAUAUAUAUAUAUAUAUAUAUAUAUAUAUAUAUAUAUAUAUAUAUUUUGUUAAAUUUCCCUUUACUUCCAAAUAAAUAAUAAUUUUCAUUUUCCAAAACAAAAUUAGGUGAAGAGAUGAUUUGGAAAAAUAAGUAAAAUUUGAGAUAAUUAUUUUUAAUUAUAUAAAAAUUUCUAAACAAAAAUUGUAAAUGUUUAUCUGUCAUUAUUUUUCUGAAGUUUUAAAGUUAUUGUUUAAAAAAAAUUACACCUCCUACACAUAAUUUGUCCAGUGUGUCGCACAGAAACAUGUACUAGUGUAUGAAUAUAAGAAUAACACAUCCUUAUAUAAGUAAUUUGGUGUGAUCAUUUAUAUUUUCUUUUUCUUUUAUGUGAUUCUCAUCAUAUAAUAUAAACGGUAAUAUUAAUAUAUCGUUAGUUUGAGUAAAAUUAAGUUUAUUUUUUAAAAAUAAAAUCUAAGAUUCAAAUGUUAUAAAUAAAUAAAAAAUAUGAUUAAAAAAAAGCCAUCUAAUUUUUUUUGACAAAGGUUAAUGAUAAGUUUAAUCUGAGCAAUAACAUGACAGUAGAAGCAACCGACUGCAACUCGUCUACUUGAAUAUCUUCCUAAUAAUUGUUUCAACUUUCAAGCCUCGUGUGCUUUGACAUUUAUGCUCCAUAUCCUGAAAAUUUUGAUAAGAUAAGGGACCAAUCUAUACACAGUCCCAAGGAGAUUUGCAAGUAAGAAGAGAAAAAAAUAAAAUUCCAGACCCAUUGUUGGUGAAGGCGAAAUGUGUAGUGGGUUGUCAACGCAAUGCAAUGGUUCACAGUGUGCUGGUCUUAUUGAUGUUUUUUGGUUGCAGGUUCAAUGGUGGUUCUGAUGUAGAGAAGAAGAUGAAAGGGCCAAGGAGGAGAGAAUGGAACAGAGGAAGAAGAAGAGGGUAGAUGAGGAAAGAGAGAAAGAAAAAUCCAAAAAGAAAAUAAAAAUCCCAGCCAUUGAUUUUAAUUUUAAAAUAUCUAAUAAUUUCAAUUAGUUUCCCACUAUGCCAAUCUCGUAAAACUUUCGUCUGGCACCGUGCCUCGCUGUUGAAGGGUUCCCAUGCUAGCAUCUGCCAACACGAUCUGACAUUUCAACUAGGGGUGGGUAUAUCGGUCGGUUUAGUCCGUUUAAGAUCUGACAUGUGAAAUCAAUAUUUUAAGCUUAUUGGGUAAAUCUGGUUGUAAAAUAGAAAGAUUUUUUUUCUUUUUUUUAGAUUUAUAUUGGUUUCCUAAUCCGGUAAAUAAACGAAUUGGUCCGUGGGUUCAAUUAAUAAUUUAAAAAUAAAAAUAAAAAUAUAUUUUUAAUUAUUUGGUAGGUUCGCAAGCAAGAGAGGGGCAACACACGUCAACUGAAGAAGAGAAAGUAAUCUUGUGGAUCUCGUGACAGAAUGAGAGCUGGAGAAGGAGUGAGAGUUAAAAAGAAGAGACUGCCAAGUAUAAAGUCUCAACUCAAAUACUAAAUUUAUGUAAUUUUUAUUUUAAAAUUAAUUUUAUCUUAUUAGUAAAUCUGUGUAUAAAAUUCGUUAAAUUUGCAUACUUAACGAAUCAAACUCAAAUAUUAUUUAUAAUUAUAUGGAUUUAUAAAAAAAUAAAUUGAUAAUAUGCUCAAUCCACGAAAAUAACGGACCGUCCCCGCAAACCUGAAUAGUCAUCCCUAAUUUCAACGGAGUGGAAAGUGGGAAACCAUGAAACUUGCUACGUACUGUGAAAUUAAAAGGUCCGUACUAAUGUACGAAAUUAAUAAUCUUCUCCUCCCUUGUCGUCAUUUCUCACCUCAUCAUAUACAUAAUAAUACAUUAGUACUUUUUUAGGAGGACAGGCCAUAUAUAUUUUUAACACAUUUUUAAUAUUAUUUGUUGUUAAUUAGUUUUUUAAUAAAUUAUAAGUUAAGUUAAAAUUUAUUAAAUUUACAAAACUAUAAGAAAAAAACAUUAAAUAAGAUGUAGGAUCUACAAAAUUUAUAAUUUAUAAUAAAUUUUAACUAAUAAAUUUUAACUAACAAAUUUUCAGCAUUUUUCUAUUCUUUUAGACUACAAGUAUUGAUUAAGUUAAAACAACCAUGUGUUAAUGGUUCCUAUAGUAAUAUUAUUAGGAUAGAAUAUAAUUAUUUUUGGUACAAAAAUACAUGGGAUUUAGAUAAAAAAAAAUCCUGUUAAUUAAUGUUACAAGAUACAUUAUUUAAACAUUUAAAAAUUAACAUUACAUUUAGCAUUUCAAGUUUUCAACGGAGUAGAAAGUGGGAAACGAUGAAAUUUGCUACUCUUAAUUUAAAAGGUUCGUACUAUAAAUUAUAAUGAGAUUCGUCUUUACUUUCGCACCCUCUAUACAUUAUAGUAAUUUAAAGUGCAUGUGAUAUGGUAUGCGAAUAUUUCUACCUGUUGUUUAAAAUUUAUUUAGAAUAUAGUACGACACUGAAACAUUAUUAUCUCAUAAAAAAAAUUUAUAUAAUUAAAAAUAAAUUUAAUUUAAUACAUUGAUAAUAUAAUUUUUUUAUAUCAUCAAUUAAUUAAAAAUCAUUCUAAAUAUAAAUUUUAAAAUAACUAUUAUAAAAGUAAAAAAAAUUAAUAUACACAACAAUUCAUAAUUAGAUGACAUUGCGUUUUAAUUAAUUCAUUGAAAAUUAGUGCCUUUUAUAAUAAAUAAUCUAGAAGUGAUAUUUAAAGUGGUUUCUAAUUAGUUAUUAGUAUACAUUUUUACAGUAGCAUAGUUUUAAAAUUAAACUUCCAGUAUAUGUUUUUAUUUUCUAGAUAUACAUGCAGAUUAAAAAUAUAUUUUAAAACUAAAGGAGACUUUUUUGUUAUAUAAUAAUAAUAAUAAUAAUAAUAAUAAUAAUAAUAAUAAUAAUAUAAAGUGAGAGAUGGAAAUGUAUGAGGGGACGAUGUUCGAUUUAUUUUUAUGAUGGGAACAUAAUUUUUUAAAAUAAAAAAUAAUUAGAAAAUUUUAUUUAAAAUAUUUUUAUUAUUAAUAUAUCUCUUAUUAAAAUUAUAUAUAUAUAUAUAUAUAUAUAUAUGAGAUUGCUAGCAUACUCUAAUGUUAGAGUAUUUAAAUAACCUACAUCAAAUUAUUAGAAUAAAAAGCUUAACUAUUUAUUUUGUGAUAAUAAAUUUAUUUAAAAAAAUAUGAUAAUUUAAUAUUUAUAUUUUUAAAAUUCAUUUAUUUAUCUCUUCAACUCAUUCUCUCUCCUCUCUUUUUCUCUCACAUCAUUUAAUAUUUAUAUUUUCAAAAUUAAAAUUUAAAAUAUUUACCGAGAGAAUGAAUGAGGAAAAUAAAUAAAUGAGUUUUAAAAAUAUAAACAUUAAAUUAUCAUAUUAUUCUUAAAUAAAUUUAUUAUCACACAAUAAAUAGUUUAAUCUUUGAUCUAAAUAAUUUGGUGUAGGUUAAAUACUCUAACAUGAGAGAGUAAGUUAACAAAUCAUUUUAUGAAUGUACGUAUGGGAAGGAAGAAUGUAAUAGAAAACAAAAAAGAAAGAAAAAGAAGGAAAUUAAAAAUAAUAAAUGUAAUUAAUGAUUUAAGAAAAAAAUAAAAAUAUAGUAUACAAACGAGAAAAUAAUUACAGUCAGACUCAGAAACUGUCAUGAUAUUUAUUCAUCUCUAAGUAAAACAUAAUUUUAUUUUAUUUUAUUUUCCCCUCAGAAUUUUAAAAACUCAAGUGUCUCAUGUAUAGCCAAAAAAACCAUAGACGCAUGGUAGUUGGAGAGCCGAGAGCCUACAAUUAUUUCUGAGACAAAAGAUGGAAGAUAAAGUUUACAUAAUUGUUCUCUCUCCAAUUUCUAUUAUAAGAAAAAAAAUAAUUUCAUAUUAAUUAUAAAAUUAAUUAAUUUUAUUAAAUUAUGUUAAUUCCAAAUAAAAAUAAGUUUUUUAAAAAAAUUAUUUUUCAUUAAAACUUGAUAUCAAACAUAAAAAAAAAAUUAUCCUAUCAAAUGAAAGACAUUUAUUUAAAAAUAGUUUUAUUAAAUACGGUAAAGUUAAUUAACUUUUGUUUAUAUAAAAAAAAGCAAUUUUUUUGUUGCUUAUUAAAAAGACCAGUGGGAGUACUAAUUAAAACAAAACUAUGGCUGCUAUGUAACAUGGCACCAGAGAGUCUCAAUCCUUAGAGAAAUUAAAUACCAAACUUUGACAUUUCACAGAGUGAUGGUAGUAAUAAAUGACAAGGAAUGAGACCCAGCAUGGACCCAGUCCUUUGACCACUAUUAUUGUCCAGCUCAAUUGAAAUUUUUUUAUUAAGAGUUUAACUUAGUUGAAUAUGAUAAAUAAAUUAUUAUAAUUUUUUAAUAUUUAUUUUUAAUUUUUAUGAAUAAAAAACUAUUACAAUCUCAGUUCAUUUUCUUGGGACACGUAAUCAAGUUUAAUAACUAUUUCUCAUAGCUUAAAAAUUCAGUUAUGUCGAGUAUUUAUGUACAAAUUAGUUAGAACAAUAGGCGCGUAUAGUGGUCGCCCUCUAAGACAUAUAAUUGUGAAGAUCGAAGAGAAGCUUUAUACAAUUAUUAAUGAUAAAACUAUCAUUGUUAUAUAACAUGGGGCCAUAAAUGAGUGCAUGGAUUGAAUGAUGCAAAAUUGUUACAACUUAAUUAAUUAUCUUGAGUUUUAAUUUUAAAUAUAUAUUUGUGUUAAAUACUCCGGAAAGAGUUUUAUGUUCAUAAUUAUUAUAUUUAACUUGAACAAUAUUAACUCAACUGAUGAUGCAUAUAUAGUUUAUACAAAAAAUAUAUAUAUAACAUGGGACCUAGGCGAUGGCAAAACGGGUUGGAUCUAUUCGAUCAACCCAUUUUGGGCUUUUUUUUCGAAUUAGGUUGGAAUUUUCAAUCCUUCAACUGCUUUGCUAUGUUUUGAUCCGCUACAAAAUGGGUUGAGAGGAAAGUAGAACGGACCAACUCUCUAACCCGUUUUUUUUAUUAAGAAAUAAUUUUAGUAUUUAUUUUGAUAUUUUAUACUAAUAUUUAUUAAUUUUCAAUUAGCUUAUUUUUUGUCUAAAUAAAUUAUUAUUAAAAAUUUAAGGUAAUACAUUUAAUUUUUUAGUAAGUAUUUAUUAUUUAAUAUUUAUAAAAGAUAAAAUUAAUUAAAAUACAUUUAUAAUUUAUUUUUUUAGUUUUGACAUGACAAAAACGAAAUGAACUGAACACUUUGAAUCUAUAUAUAAAAUACGGGAUGAGAUGGGAUGGAUUGAUCCGUUUUUUAUGGAUUGAUCCCUUUUUGCUAGCCCUAAUGGGACCAAAGAGUCACUAUCCUUUAGAAAAAUUCACACCAAACUUUUGACAUUACAGGCAGGGACAAUGCGAGUAAUAAAUGGCAUAGAAUGAGACCCUAGUCCUCUGGCCACUAUAAAAAGGGAUGAUUGUGUGUGUUACAUGCAUCAGCCACCACCAUUGACUAGUAUCAUUAAGAUGGCUAAUUCCUACUUAUCCUUGCUUGUCUUGAUCCUUGUAGCUCUGCUCCUCACCCCUCAAGGGCUUGCUGAUGAAUCUGAUUCUUACUAUAAGCCACCAGUUUACAAGAAACCACCAGUGUACAAGCCCAAGCCCAAGCCACCCAUUCACAAGCCCAAGCCACCCGUUUACAAGCCCAAGCCACCCGUUUACAAGAAACCCCCUUAUGGUAAGUACCCACCAGUUCAAGACAACGAUCACUUCUAAACCAUGCAACAAGGCAUGUUAAUGUUAACUAUCUACUAAAAUAAAGAGGUUCAGUUAACCUACUACGUACGUUGCUCCUUUUAAUUCCUAAAUCGUAAUUUACAACUUUGUAGGGAUGAGACAUUCUUGGCUAGCUCUGCACUUCAAUCCUUUAUUUGUACAAUGCUAUGGCCAAGUCAAUACCAUGCAUCUUAUCUAUGUGUGUCAUUGAACGAAGUAGUUGCGUGAAAAUGAUGCUUGUACUAUGAAUAAAUAAUAAAAGAACUUUAUCAUUUCAAGAUUGUGCUGUUUAGUUUAUUUGCUGAACCACCGUUACUGACCAUAAAUAAUACACAUGCAGGUCUUGUUUAGGAUAAACUUAAUUAUCCGUAACUUUUGAGAAAGAAUAUUCAAAAUUAAAAUAAAUUAAACUUUUCUAGCAAUUUAAAAUCAACUUGAUUUAUUCUCCUCCUUCUAACAUAAUUUAUUUUCUGAAUUAUUUAGUUAAGGAACACAAAGUGUUAUCAUUUGUACUAAUUAGUAUUGAUGUACUUAUGCUUUUUAAUCUUUAUAAAUAUUAACUGUUUUUAUUGAUGUAUAAGUUAGUUUUAACUCAUAAAAAAGUUUAACUUUUUUAUAUUUUCAUUUUAUUUCUCUCUCUCUCUCUCUCUCUAUAUAUAUAUAUAUAUAUUCAUAGAAAAAUUUAUCCAAACACGAUCAUAGUCCAACUUGCUGGUUAUGUUUAAGGAAGUGUUUGAAAAGGUUUAUAUUGAACUUAUUCAAAUUUAUAAAAUUAGUUUAUAAAUUAUAACUUAAUAUAAGUUUUUUUAAAAUAUUUUACAUUGAGUAGUAUGAGAUGAUUUAGUAUGGAAAUUGUACAAAUAUAUAUAACACAUGAAAUUAUGUUUUAGUGUAUAAAAUUAAUAAGUUAUGAAAUAACAAAAAGACAAAUGAAACUGAAAAAGAAUUCUGGACUCAUUAAUUUUAAUAUGUAUUAUAUGAAUUUUCACAACUUAUUAAUAAAACAUGUGUUAUAUUCACCAAAUAAAAAUGUUAAAUUAAAGUAUUUUAUAUUAAUAAAUGAGAAUGAUGGCAUAUUUGCUUGAUUAGGCCAUAUAGGCCGAGAGAUUAUGCUAUAGGGUCCGAAUUUGCAUUCAUAAUAAUGCAGAGUUUAACAAAGGACAAAAAACAGAUUUUUUUUAUAGAAGGAUUUUAUUUAAGCAAUAAUACAGAGUCCACCUUUUCAACAAAAAAAUGUAGUGUCCACACAAAAAUUCAUUCCUUCCAUGUACGGAUGUACGGAAUAAGAAGGGAAAGAAGCAAUAAGUCUUUGGUAGCGCUUUUUUAUCAAAUAAGGGUAACUUUUUUUUUUUUACGACUUUCAUGUCAUAAUUUUUUAUUUUAUUAUUUUUUAACUGAAGCUGUAAAUAAUCAUUUCUUUUACGAUUUUAAAAUUAUAAAAAAAAAUUUAAUUUUUUUUAAGGUUUAUGACUUUAAAGUCAUAAACCUAUUUUUUUAAAAGUUUUUUUUAAAUUUACAAUUGUUUACGAUUUUAUUUUUAUUUAAAAAAAAUUAAAAAAGUAUUUAAAUAUAUAAUAAAUAAUAUUAAAUUGACUUAUUUAUUAAUAUUUUUUUUAUGAUUUUAUUUGAUAUGUUAUUAAUUUAUUUAAUGUUUUAUUAUUUAAAACAUGUUAUAUAUAUAUAUAUAUAUAUAUAUAUAUAUAUAUAUAUAUAUAUAUAUAUAUUUAAUAUAGUUUAAUUUAAAUGUUUUUUUAUUUAAAGUUUAAAUAAUCUAUUAAUAAAAAUAAAAAAACCACAUAAUCAAUACAUUAAUAUAAAACACAUAAUACAAAUGAAAAAAAAAACAUAAAAAGUACAAGUUAUUUUAGUUAUGUACUUGUUUGUAUGGACACUUAAUAUGAUUAUGUCCUUCACUUCUACAUAAUGAGCUUUCUUAGACCUAUUUGGAAUUGAUUCAUUCAUCUCAUUAUAUAUUUGAGUAGUGGCCGACCUGCUUGAUGUUUGUCAUCGUUUCGAAAGAUCAAACAUAAAAUGUGGACCUAAAUAUUGAGGUCUGUGUCUUCACUUCCAAGGAAAUGAAAAUGAUGUUGAUAAACUUUGAAAAUGUUUUCCAACUUGUAUACAGGAUCAACAAAGUCAUCAUAAUUUAAAUUGCAAAAAGCAUAUGCUGCAAUUGCAUGCAAGUAUGGUAGCCAAAGUGCUUAAAAUUAUCCAUAAUCACAUGACCAUUCAUUCAAUCUGACAGUGCAUGCCAUUGCUCGUCGACCAAGUCGCAUGUUUAUAAUUUCUUGAAACUCAAACUCCCCUGUUUCUCGAGCAUACAUGCGAACAUAAUGCGAGGUAGCAAUGUGUUGAUUUUCUUGCAUCAUGACAUAUACGUCUUCGGAGUACCUAUGUCCUGCCUUUAUCAUAUUCAUGAUUUUGAUGUCGUUAGUAACAAAUGAAUCAUUUAUUUUAUUAAAUGUUUCAUUGAUUAAGGCAGUAAUAGGUAAUGCUCGGGCUCCUUUCAAAACAGAAUUCAUACAUUCGGCAAGGUUGGUAGUCAUAUGGUCAUACCAUUUUCCUUCAUCAUAGGUCUGGGUCCAUUUACUCUUAGGAAUUUGAUCCAACCAAUAUGCUGCUUGUGGAAACUCUGCUCGCAUAGUGAGAAACUUAGCCUCAAAUCGUGAUUUCCUCAUCUCAUACCCUAUGCCAAAAGAUAAAAUAAUGAGUAAUAAAUUUAGUGAACAUGUAAUAAAGCAAGAAUAUGAUGCAUAAAAUAGGAAGAAACAUACCCAUAUUGAUGACUUGUUUGUUUUAAGUCAACAUUUUUAAAUUGUUUGUUGAAAUUUGAUGCAAUGUGGCAAAUGCAAUACGUGGAUGAAACAUUUGGUCCAUUCCAGCCAAUGCAUUCGGAUUGUAAAGCUACUAGCAAACCAGUUCAUCUGUCUGAUAUAAUACCCAAAUUUGGUUGCGGUGUAACAUAUCUUCGCAAAUAAUGCAAGAACCCCAUCCAAGCUUCUUUAGUCUCGCUCUCAAAAAUUGCAAAAGCACGUGGAAAAUUGUUCCUACUACCAUCUUGUCUGAUGACAGUCAACAAAGUACCACGAUAUUUGCCCGUUAAAAAUGUUCCAUCUACUUGCACAAGUGGCUUGCAAUAUUUGAAGUCUUCAAUGUAUGGAUUAAAAACCCAAAAUACACGACUAAGAAUCACCCUAGGAGGGUCAUCGUCACCUUCCUCCAUUGAAGAUAAAGUUUUGUAUUUUACUAUGGUACCUGGUACAAAGUGUUGAGCAGUUGUCAACCAUACAGGCAGGUAACUGUAUGAUUGUUCCCAACUUCCAAAUGUCAUUUCAAGGGCUUUUUGUUUAGUUGUCCAUGCUUUUUUGUAUGAAACAGUGUAACCAAACUGUUGAUGCAUGUCUGCAAUCAAGGUUUUGAUUUCGAUAUCCAGAUUUGUUUUCACUAAAUGAACAAUAUUAUGGGCAAUUACAGAAGAAUCUAACCUAACAUGAUCUUGUGAUAUGACAGAAUUUGUGCAGGUGUGAAUACCGUUUGAUUUCUUCAACUCCCACCUUUUGCAUAUUUUGUUGAACGAUAUUCUUUCCCUCCAAUAACGUCAUUACCAUAUUAAUUACACAUGACAACAUACUUGUCACUCUUGUUCCUGACCACAUCAAAAUUAAAUGAAUGCAUAAAAUGAAAUUGUUUAAUGGCAUUCACGGUUGCUUGUUUUGAUUCAAAUGUCAACCUUUCAUAAAGGUUUGUACUAACACUCCCUCUCCUUUGAUAAGGAUUUGACUACUCUUGAUUUUCUGAAAGUUGGCUACUAAUAGUUUCAAAAUAUGAAGAUGAAUCACUUUGAUUGCUUAGUUCAGCAUGUUCAUGAAAAUCACGUUGUUGCUCGUCAUCAUUGAAGUCACUAACAUUAUCUCUUAUUAUAGGUUCUUCACUAGCCAUUUGUAAAAAAAAAGUUAUUUAUUAGUGAAAUGAAAUCAUUGGAUUGCAUGUAAUGUAAAAAAAAAACUUUUUAAAUACCUUUUCAUGUAUGUAACGCUAAGAAAAUUAUGCCAGUAUGACUCUAAGUAACACGUCAAAAUCAGAGAACCAAUCGAUUAUUUGGAUGCAACAGAUGCAAGAUUGUGUAAAUGUGAAUUAUAAGUGAAAAUGAACCAUCCUUUUAUAAGUUACGCCGAACAAUUCAUGCUACAUGUAUCCACCAAUAUACUAAAACAUAAAAUAAUAAUUUAACAAAAUUAUUUUAACAUGUAUAAUAAUUUAUCUAACUAAACCAUAAAUUAAUAAUAACUAAACACUAAUAUAUUAAACAUAAAAUAAUAAUUUAACAAAAUUAUUUUAACAUGUAUAAUAAUUUAUCUAACUAAGUCGUAAAUUAAUAAUAACUAAACACUAAUAUACUAAAACAUAAAAUAAUAAUUUAACAAAAUUAUUUUAAGAUGUAUAAUAAUUUAUCUAACUAAACAGUAAAUUAAUAAUGACUAAAUACUAAUAUACUAAAACAUAAAAUAAUGAUUUAACAAAAUUAAUUUAACAUGUAUAAUAAUUUAUCGUCACUGAAUUGUCACUGAAUUGUCAAAUGGAAUCAUUGGAAUGGUUAUAUUGUUCAUGGUAAAAUAGAUCAAGGUCUUUUACAUGAAAAUUCAUAAUAUAUGCAAUGGUAUAUACGUCAAACUAGACGAUAUAUAUCGCAUGAAUCACAAUAUUAUCCUGGUCAUCACCAACAUCAAUCAUAUGUAGAACCCAAUGUACCUCCAGUGCAUGUUCCUGGAUUUAUGUACUAACAUCAUCCAUCACAAACACAAUAUCAAUCAACAAGUUUCUCUGGUCACACAUCUCAAGGAUGUCAACAAAGUUUUCAACCACUAGGGUUCUCAUCAUAUAUACAUCAAUACUCCUUUCAAGUCUCUUCUACCUUAAAUGUUUUUUAUGGUCCCUCACAAAUAUUUGCCACCAUUUUCAACACUCCACCAUGUGCAUAUAAUCUAGCACCAUUGAGUUUUUGUUAUCUUUCAUCAUUACCUACUCAAAUGUGUGACAUGGGUCAUGAAGAUGAGGAGGGGGAUGAUGAUAACAACAAUAACAACGAUGAUGAUGAUGAUGGUGAUGAUGAUGAUAACGGUGGUCAUCAUGUUCCUCAACAACAACACACAAUUACACAUGAGCAUCCUAGACCAAGAUAAGGUAGAGGUCGUAGACCAAAAGGACAACAAACAAGACAAAUCCAGUCCAACAAGAUGAGAGACCGAGACGCAUAUCUAGAAGAACUUGGGACAUCGUCUCAUUAUUAGUUUAACAAAUAUGUAAUUUUUAUUUAAAUAUAAUCAAUUUUUAAACUAAAGUCUUUCAAAUUUUUAAUAUUUCAUUUUAAUUUUUUUAUGUAUUUUUGUUCAUAGAUUAUUUAAACUUUAAAUAAAAAACAUUUAAAUAAAACUAUAUUAAAAAUAUAUAUAACAUGUUUUAAAUAAUAAAACAUUAAGAAUCACUUUGAUAAGGAUUUGACUACUCUUGAUUUUCUGAAAGUUGGCUACUAAUAGUUUCAAAAUAUGAAGAUGAAUCACUUUGAUUGCUUAGUUCACCAUGUUCAUGAAAAUCACGUUGUUGCUCGUCAUCACUGAAGUCACUAACAUUAUCUCUUAUUAUAGGUUCUUCACUAGCCAUUUGUAAAAAAAAAAGUUAUUUAUUAGUGAAAUGAAAUCAUUGGAUUGUAUGUAAUGUAAAAAAAAACUUUUUAAAUACCUUUUCGUGUAUGUAAUGAUAAGAAAAUUAUGUCAGUAUGACUCUAAGUAACACGUCAAAAUCAGAGAACCAAUCGAUUAUUUGAAUGCAACAGAUGCAAGAUUGUGUAAAUGUGAAUUAUAAGUGAAAAUGAACCAUCCUUUUAUAAGUUACGCCGAACAGUUCAUGAUACAUGUAUCCACCAAUAUACUAAAACAUAAAAUAAUAAUUUAAAAAAAUUAUUUUAACAUGUAUAAUAAUUUAUCUAACUAAACCAUAAAUUAAUAAUAACUAAACACUAAUAUAUUAAACAUAAAAUAAUAAUUUAACAAAAUUAUUUUGAUAUGUAUAAUAAUUUAUCUAACUAAGUCGUAAAUUAAUAAUAACUAAACACUAAUAUACUAAAACAUAAAAUAAUAAUUUAACAAAAUUAUUUUAACAUGUAUAAUAAUUUAUCUAACUAAACUGUAAAUUAAUAAUGACUAAAUACUAAUAUACUAAAACAUAAAAUAAUGAUUUAAUAAAAUUAAUUUAACAUGUAUAAUAAUUUAUCUAACUAAACCCAAAAUUAAUAAUAACUAAACACUAAUAUACUAAAACAUAAAACAAUAAUUUAACAAAAUUAAUAAUUUAAAAAAAUUAAUUUAACACUAAAUCCUAAAUUAAUAAUAACUAAACACUAAUUUAUGUUACAUAUACAAUAUAUGAUGAAAGUAUAAUAUUUAUAAGAAAGCGUACGAAUGCAAUACAAAUUCAUUAGGAUAUAUAUAUAUAUAUAAAAAAUCAUUUGCAUGAAUAGUGAAGUCGUGUGGUAUUUCACGACUUCAAUAAUUCAGCAAAUGUUCCAUGCUUCAAUUUGCGCCAUCCAUUCUUUCAUGAUUCAAUCUUGGCCGUUGACUCCAAUAGUGAAGUCGUAGGAGGAGAACGACUUCAAAGUCGUUUGUUUCUUCACGACUUUGUCAAUCUGCAAUUGUUGUUUCAUUCCAUAAUGCAAUGAUAUUUUGCGUGUUUAAUGCAGUCAUUAACAUGAUGUCUUCCUUGUGAUAAUCCAGUGAUAUGUUGUGGGUUGGUUGUAGGGAUUAGCAUGCCGUUAAAGUGCUGCAAAAUGCAGCUGAAAAUUGCACCAUUUUUGUUUUACUUGGAGCUUGUUUAAUGUAGUGUGUUGUUCACUCAAUGUGCAACAAAGAAAAAGCCGAAAACAACAGUGUUUUAAUCUCGUGAACCUACCACAUGACUUUCAUUUAUGAUUCUUGAACCUACCAAGGAAAUAGCUAAGACUGAAAAAGCAUAUGAGCAUGUAGUGUUUGUGUUUGCACAUGGUAGCUUUAGAAGUAUGCUGAAAACAAGCUUUGUAGGCUCCAAUAAAUUGCACCCGUGAAGGUUGCACAUGCAUAAAUAGUAUAAAAGUAAAUUGGUGUGUAAGAAGCAUGCACAUGCUACUCACAGUUGGUAUAUCGUGAAGCAUGCUUAUAGGUACAUGAAAUAAUGUAUGAGACCGUGGAAUCUUGUUAUUCACAGUACCUAUCUUGUGAAGGUAUCUCAUGAAGCAUGCUUAUACGAUCGUUUAUGGUGAAAUGAUGUAUGAUACCAUGGAAUCUUGCCAGAAAUAAAGUAGUCAAUAAUAACUUAUGUUGACAGCAAUAAUGGUACUCUAAUAGCUUGAAUCACAGACCAACAUGCUUUAAGUUGUGUAUAUUAGACUUCAACAAGUGUGCAACAAUAUUAUACAUGUUAAAAUAUUAGAAGGUUUUACUUUUUCAAAAAAACAUUGUGUCAACGAGUACCUUACACCACCCUCCUUUCAUACCUCCUCCUUUCAUUCUUCCUCAUUCUUAUUUUCAUCCUUCUAUCCAUUUACCAACGGCAUAUGCACAACCCAGACCAGUUGAUGGCUCCUUGUUGCGCUUACAAGACAACCAUAUUUCAAAUUAAGUGUGGGAAGGCCAAAAGAGAAUCAUUCGUCUGAGGUAUACUUUUGUUUGAGCUUUUACCCACUUGGAUCAAAUAGAUAAUUGGGCAAAAAAUCUAAUCACGUUAGCUGGUUUCAAUCAUGUUAUAAAUGUUGGAAAAGUUAAUAUUAACCAACAUUUGGUUAGUGCGUUGGUUGAACGUUGGAGAAUAGAGACGCGCACAUUUCAUUUUCCACAUGGAGAGACAACCAUUACUUUACAGGAUGUGACCCUAUAGUUGGGCUUGAAGAUUGAUGGAUUGUCGAUAAUCGAUUUCAUCACCGGUGAUGUACGUGUUGCUUGUUAGAUAUUACUAGGGGAAACUCCACCUGAUAAGUAUGUAAAAGGUAAAAUGAUUUACCUAACUUGGUUGCGGCAAAAUUUUCAGCAACUUCUCGUUGAUGCUAAUGAUGUUGUCAUUGCACAGCAUGCUAGAGCUCAUAUCAUGAUGAUUAUAGGCGGUUAUUUGAUAUCAGAUACAUCAGGUGCAAGAGUUCAUUUUUUGUAUCUUCUUUUAUUAUCAAAUUUAUCUGAGGCAAGUCAUUACAGUUGGGGUGCAGCAAUAUUAGCAUCCCUUUUUCGAGCUCUAGAUCGGGUCGUGCUUGUGAAGCCAGACCAAACAAAAAUUGGUGGAUGUUUGUUAUUGCUACAGUCAUGGGCGUGAGACUGCAUUAAAUGUAUUACCCCAAAGAUAGAUCACCUAUCUAUGGAAGAAGUACAAGAAGGACUCGAAUUUCCUCUUGCACGAAGGUGGCCUCGUCUAAGGACCGAAACAAAUAUUCCUACCAUUUCAGUGAGAUUGAUACGCAUCAUAUUUGAUAGACUACAUAUUAAUGAAGUUUAUUUUUUAAUUUUCAUGAAUUAACUAUUUUUUCCAGUUUCCUAUUUGAUUAUAAAUAUGUUACAAUAAUAAUAUAUGUGUUGUAGUUCUUGUGGACUCCUUAUGACACACCAGAAAUAAGGCCAUUAAUUAAUGAUGUAGAGGUAUCAAUGAUUGUUCGGGCAAAAGUUCAUCUCAUAUAUUUUGCAAUUGUGGAAUGACAUCCAAUAGACAGGGUCAUGAGACAAUUUAGACUGCGAUAAAUUAUUUCAGAUGACACAUCAAACCUAGAUCAACUCCACGACAUAGAUAUGAGAAGGAAAACAUAUAUUUUUUGGCCUCACCAUCAUCGCCACUGAAUUGUCAAAUGGAAUCAUUGGAAUGAUUAUAUUGUUCAUGGUAAAAUGGAUCAAGGUCUUUUACAUGAAAAUUCAUAAUACAUGCAAUGGUAUAUACGUUGAACUAGACGAUAUAUAUCACAUGAAGGAACAGUAUCUACUAAGGUUGUAAAUCUACUUUACAAUUUUAAUCAUUCUUGAUAUUAUUAUUCAUUGUUAUUUCUAACUUUAUAAAUUUGAAUCACAAUAUUAUCGUGGUCAUCACCAACAUCAAUCAUAUGUAGAACCCAAUGUACCUCCAGUGCAUGUUCCUGGAUUUAUGUACUAACAUCAUCCAUCACAAACACAAUAUCAAUCAGCAAGUUUCUCUGGUCACACAUCUCAAGGAUGUCAACAAAAUUUUCAAUCACUAGGGUUCUCAUCAUAUAUACCUCAAUACUCAUUUCAAGUCUCUUCUACCUCAAAUGUUUUUUAUGGUCCCUCACAAAUGUUUGCCACCAUUUUCAACACUCCACCAUGUGCAUAUAAUCUAGCACCAUCGAGUUCUUGUUAUCGUCCAUCAUUACCUACUCAAAUGUGUGACAUGGGUCAUGAAGAUGAGGAGGAUGAUGAUGAUAACAACAAUAACAACGAUGAUGAUGAUAAUGGUGAUGAUGAUGAUAACGGUGGUCAUCAUGUUCCUCAACAACAACACACAAUUACACAUGAGCAUCCUAGAACAAGAGGAGGUAGAGGCCGUAGAUCAAGAGGACAACAAACAAGACAAAUCCAGUCCAACAAGAUGAGAGACCGAGACGCAUAUCUAGAAGAACUUGGGACAUCGUCUCAUUAUUAGUUUAACAAAUAUGUAAUUUUUAUUUAAAUAUAAUCAAUUUUUAAACUAAAGUCUUUCAAAUUUUUAAUAUUUCAUUUUAAUUUUUUUUACGUAUUUUUGUUCAUAGAUUAUUUAAACUUUAAAUAAAAACAUUUAAAUAAAACUAUAUUAAAAAUAUAUAUAACAUGUUUUAAAUAAUAAAACAUUAAAAUAAAUUAAUAACAUAUAAAUAAAAUCAUAAAAAAAUAUACUAAUAAAUAAGUCAACUUAAUAUUAUUUAUUAUAUAUUUAAAUAUUUUUUUUUAUUUUUUUUAAAUUAAAAGUUAAACCGUAAACAAUUGCAAAUUAAAAAAGAAACAGGUUUACAACUUCAGUUAAGAAAAAUAAAAAAUAAAAAAUUACGACUUUAAAGUCUUAAAAAAAGUUUUUAAUUGAUUCGUAAAUAAUUUUAUGAUUUCAGUUAAAAAAAAUAAAAAUAAAUAAAGAGUUGUAACAACUGUUACAACUUCUAACUGAGAAGUCGUAAACACUUGUACGACUUAUCCCCUUUUGAUUAUUUUUUUAAAAUAUACUCCCAGUUAGAAAAUUAGGUGAAAUGUUAUCCUUUUUUGGUAAAAAAAAACCCUUUGAUAGGAGGAAGAAAGGGGGGAUGAAGAAAAGAAUAGAGAAAAAAUCAUAUUAAAUUUAUAUCUCUUACUUUAUAUUUUAAUUUUAAAAAAAUAUUCUAUUUCUAUCAUGUCUACUAACAGAGGGUGAAAGAUAAAAUUGUCCAAUGAUUUAUAGUUUUUCUUUUCUUUUCACUUUCUAUACAAUUAAAUAAGAAUUUUCUUUUUUUUUCCCUUCAUCUUUCUUUCCUUUUAUUUUAUUCUUUAAAUCAAGCAUACCAAGGACCCUCUUGCACAUGCACCUUUGUUCGAGUCGAUUUUGAAAAUUGUGUGGGUGCUUUGGAUCUUCAGUUCUACGUUUUGUAGUACGGUAUAUUUUAUGUUAGAACAAAGGAUGAAAGUUUGAAAAAAAGAAAGGAAAAAAAAGGCUUCAAGUCCCACAUCGCUCAGGAUAAACACUUGAAUAGUGUUUCACUCCCUAUAUAUAGAGAGCUCAUUUCUUCAUUUUUCCUUGUCCCAGCUGAGAAGCAUUUCCUCAACUUUUCUUUCUCCCUCCCAUAUUUCAGCCGAUGCAUUUCCGGCAAACUUCUCCCUCUUUCUUUCUGUCGCUCUAAAAUUUUGGUUGGCUUUAAGAGUGACUUUUUAAGUUAUAUUUUUUGGUUGGCUAUAAGAGUGACUUUUUAAGUCAUAUUUUUCGGUUGACUAUAAUAGUGACUUUUCAAGUCAUAUUUUUCGGUUGGUUGUUAGAGUGACUUUUCAAGUCAUAUUUUCGGGUGUCUUUAGAGUGACUUUUCAAGUCAUACAAGAGGGUGUAAUUCUAGAAAAUGUUCCCUCAGUGCAGUGGGAAUCUUAUACAGUGAUCUGGGCUGUUUUAUCCUGGGGACGUCGUGGUUGAUAGUCUGCUUGCACAAUUUUUUGGCAGUGCCACGAAACAUCUUAAAGAAAGCGACAUUGUCCGUGACUCAGCUAGUAAUUUUUUCGGUUUGCCAUAAACUAUUGUUACAACAAUUUUAAGACGUUUUCAGUUCUGCUAUGGCUACCGUAGAUAUUACUGGCUCGAACAGCAAUGACCUCAACAAACCUUUUAGGUUUGAAGGGUAUCAUUUCAAACGUUGGUAACAAAAGAUGAUGUUUUAUUUAACUAUGAGAAAAGUUGCCUAUGUUUUGAACACUGAUAUUCCGAUGGUACUUGAGGAUGCUGAGAAGGAAGUGAAGGAUAAAAUGACUAUGGAAUUAGCUCUCUGGAAUGAAAAUGAUUACCUAUGCAAGAAUUUCAUUUUGAAUAGGUUAGCUGAUGAUCUCUAUGAUUAUUAUAGCCCAUAUAAGUCUGUCAAAUUAGUUUGGCUGGCUUUGGAAAAGAAGUAUGAUACUGAGGAAGCUAGGACUAAAAAGUAUGUUGUUAGCCGCUACCUCAAGUAUCAAAUGACUGAUGAUAAAUCAGUAGAGUCUCAAUCUCAUGAGAUACAAAAAAUUGCUCAUGAUAUCAUAUCAGAGGGUAUGGCAUUGGAUGAGCAAUUUCAGGUUGUUGUCAUCAUAGACAAACUGCCUCCUGGCUGGAAGGAUUUCAAAAACCUUCUCAAAAACAAGACCAAAGAAUUCUCUUUGGAGUCUCUGAUCACACGUAUGCGCAUUGAGGAAGAGGCACGCAGACAAGAUCAGAAAGAUGAAGUGUUGGUUGUGUCUCACAACAACACUAAAAGGAAGAACACAGGUGCAGUUCUGAAGCCUAUUGGCAAAAACUUAAGAAUCAGAACCUCAAUGUGAGCAAUACCUCCAACCGCAACAAGAACCCCCCAAGGGUCCAAUAUGCUAGACAACAUCCACCUGCCAAGAAUAAUCCCGGUGAGCCAUUCCUCUACUACAAUUGUGGCAAACCGGGACAUAUGGCACGUAAAUGCAGAAAUCCUUCAAUGACAGGUGCUCCCCAGGCUAACAUGACUCAAGAGCCAUACAUAGUUGUGAUAACAGAAAUCAAUAUGAUUAGAGGAUCAGAUGGAUGGUGGGUAGACACUGGCGCCUCCCGCCAUGUCUGCUAUGAUCGUGCUAUGUUUAAAACAUACACGAAUGUUGAAAAUAAGAAAGUGUUGCUAGGUGAUUCCCACACCACUACUGUUGCUAGAACUGGAGAUGUUGAACUGAAGUUUACCUCUGGAAAAACUUUGAUUCUCAAAGAUGUGAUGCAUACUCUAGAGAUGAGAAAGAAUCUGGUUUCUGGUUUUCUUUUAAACAAGGCUAGGUUUACUCAGACCAUAGGUGCAGAUUUAUUUACUUUGACCAAGAAUGAGGUAUUUGUAGGGAAAGGGUGCGCCAUUGAUGACAUGUUCAAAUUGAAUCUUGAUAUUAAUAAAGUUUCUCCUUCUGCUUACAUGCUGUGUGAUUUUAAUAUCUGGCAUUCUAGACUUUGUCAUAUAAAUAGUCGUUGCAUAUCUAACAUGAGUAACUUAGGUUUUAUUCCAAAGCUAUCUUCAAAUCACUUUGAAAAAUGUGUUUUUUGCAGUCAAUCUAAAAUAACUAAGAAAUCACAUAAAUCAGUAGUUAAAGAAUCUGAGCCAUUGGAUUUAAUACAUUCUGAUAUAUGUGAAUUUGAUGGAACGUUGACCAGAAAUGGAAAAUGAUAUUUUAUCACUUUUAUUGAUGACUGCUAUGAUUAUACAUAUGUAUAUCUUAUGAAAAAUAAAAGUGAAGCGAUUGACAUGUUUAAGUUAUUUGUAACAGAAAUUGAAAAUCAAUUCAAUAAGAAAAUUAAGAAACUUCGAAGUGAUAGAGGCACAGAGUAUGAUUCGAGUUUGUUUAAUGAGUUUUAUAAUUUGCAUGGAAUCAUACAUGAGACGACUGCUCCAUAUUCACCUGAAAUGAACGGUAAAGCUGAAAGAAAGAACAAAACUUUUACAAAAUUAGUUGUAGCUACUAUGUUGAGUUCUAGUGCAACAUCUUUUUGGUGGGGCGAAAUUUUGUUAACUGUUUGUUAUGUGCUAAAUAGAAUCCCCAAAUCAAAAAGCAAGACAUCUCCCUAUGAGAUAUUAAAGAAAAGACAACCAAAUUUGUCUUAUUUGAGAACUUGGGGAUGUCUGGCCUAUGUAAGGAUCCCAGACCCUAAGAGAGUUAAACUUGCAAGUAGAGCCUAUGAAUGUGUGUUCAUUGGUUAUGCUAUUAAUAGCAAAGCGUAUAGGUUUUAUGACCUAAACGCUAAAGUGAUCAUAGAGUCAAAUGAUGCUGAUUUUUAUGAAAAUAAAUUUCCUUUUAAAUUAAGGGAUAGUGGGGGUACUUCAUCCAGUUAUCUUUCUGCUAUUAGUAGUGAAAAUCUUUCACAACCAAAACCAGAUAUAGAGCCUCGAAGAGGUAAGAGAGCAAGAAUUGCUAAAAAUUAUGGGCCCGAUUAUAUGGCUUAUACAUUAGAGGAGGAUCCAUCAAACCUCCAAGAAGCUUUGUCUUCUUUGGAUGCUGACUUGUGGCAAGAAGCCAUUAAUGAUGAGAUGGAUUCUUUAGAAUCUAACAAGACAUGACAUUUAGUAGACUUGCCUCCUGGUUGCAAACCAAUUGGUUUUAAAUGGAUCUUGAAAAAGAAACUAAAACCUGAUGGUACUAUGGAUAAAUACAAGGCUCGCCUUGUAGCCAAGGGUUUUAGGCAAAGAGAGAAUGUGGAUUUCUUCAACACCUUUUCACCAGUCACUAGAAUAACAUCUAUUCGGGUGCUAAUAUCUCUUGCUGCUAUUCACAGUCUAGUGGUACACCAAAUGGAUGUUAAAACUGCUUUUUUAAAUGGUGAAUUGGAAGAGGAAAUCUAUAUGGAAUAACCUGAAGGGUUUGUGAUUCAUGGACAAGAAGAUAAAGUCUGCAAGUUAGAUAAAUCUUUGUAUGGCCUAAAACAAGCACCUAAGCAGUGGCAUGAAAAGUUUGAUAACUUAAUAGUCUCGAAUGGGUUUAAGGUGAAUGAAAGUGACAAAUGCAUUUACUACAAAUCUGUAAAUAAUAUUUGCACUAUCAUAUGUGUAUAUGUCGAUGACCUUCUCAUAUUUGGUUUAAAUAUUCAUGUAGUGAACGAUGUGAAAUCAUUGUUGUGUAACAACUUUGAUAUGAAAGACCUCGGAGAAGCAAGUGUAAUCCUUGGUAUUAAGAUUAUUAGGUCAAAAGAGGGAAUUUCUCUGGAUCAAUCUCACUACAUUGAGAAGAUCUUAAAGAAAUAUGACUACUUUGGCUGUAAACCUGCUAGUACACCAUAUGAUCCAAGUGUAAAACUGUUUAAGAACACUGGUGAAGGUAUACGACAAACUGAGUACGCAAGUAUCAUUGGCAGCCUUAGGUAUGCCAAUGAUUGUACUAGACCCGACAUAGCCUAUGUUGUGGGAUUAUUAUGCAGGUUUACCAGUAGACCUAGUAUGGAGCAUUGGCACGUUAUUGAAAGGGUAAUGAGGUACCUUAAAAGAACCAUAAACCUUGGAUUACAUUAUAAAAGGUUUCCCGCUGUACUUGAAGGAUACAACGAUGCAGAUUGGAACACUCUUUCAGAUGAUUCCAAAGCAACCAACGACUAUAUAUUUAGCAUAGCUGGUGGGGCUGUUUCUUGGAAGUCAAAGAAACAGACUAUCUUAGCUCAGUCCACUAUGGAAUCUGAGAUGAUAGCACUAGCAACUGCUAGUGAGGAAGCAAGUUGGCUGAGAAGCUUACUUGUAGAGAUUCCUUUAUGGGAAAGACCGAUACCAGCUGUGUUGAUCCAUUGUGAUAGUACCGCGGCUAUUGCAAAAAUUGAGAACCGUUAUUACAAUGGUAAGAAACGACAGAUAUGUCGUAAGCACAACACUGUUAGAGAAUUACUCUUAACAGGAGCUGUUAGAGUAGAUCACGUACGCACUGAUGAUAAUUUAACAGAUCCUUUGACGAAAGGAUUAGCUAGAGAGAAAGUCCAUAACACUUCUAAAAGAAUGGGACUAUUGCCCUUACUAUGAUGAUCAUUCAUGAUGGUAACCCGACCUAAAUGACUGGAGAUCCCAAGAACUAGGUUCAAUGGGUAAUAACAAGUUAUGAAGUGAUAUGAGAUGAACAUGCUGUUAUAAGUGAAAGCAGCAUGAUUCCUGAAGUAACAAGAGGAUGAGUUAUGAAAAAAAUUCAUAAUUCUUAAUGAGAUCUAUACUCUACGUUGAGUGGAGUACCUAGGCUACAGGAGUACUCUUGAUAGACUCACCUAUGUGAAUGCAGAAGUGGGGGCCGCUUCAUAUGAAAUUUUGGGCAAAAAUUUCCUGAGCGUUCACUAUACCGGGAUAGACGUGCAUGGUCUUUAACGCACGGGCUUUGUAGAAUACACCUAUGAAAAUGUUGUGUGUGGUUUGAUGUCGGAGAUAGAGUUCAAGACUUCGAGUCACUCUAGUAAAAUCUGAAUCUUACUCACUAUGCAAAGGUUCAAGUUGUAUGACACCUUUGUUUAUGCACAAUUUUAUGAAAUCCUCGAAAAUCUUCUUUUCAAAUUUCAAGUGGGGGAUUGUUAGAACAAAGGAUGAAAGUUUGAAAAAAAAAGGAAAAAAAAAGAAGAAAAAAAAAGGCUUCAAGUCCCACAUCGUUCAGGAUAAACACUUGAAUAGUGUUUCACUCCCUAUAUAUAGAGAGCUCAUUUCUUCAUUUUUUCUUGCCUCAGAUGAGAAGCAUUUCCUCAACUUUUCUUUCUCCCUCCCAUAUUUCAGCCGAUGCAUUUCCAGCAAACUUCUCCCUCUUUCUUUCUGUCACUCUAAAAUUUUGGUUGGCUUUAAGAGUGACUUUUUAAGUCAUAUUUUUUGAUUGGCUAUAAGAGUGACUUUUUAAGUCAUAUUUUUCGGUUGGCUAUAAUAGUGACUUUUCAAAUCAUAUUUUUCGGUUGGUUAUUAGAGUGACUUUUCAAGUCAUAUUUUCGGUUGGCUGUUAGAGUGACUUUUCAAGUUAUAUUUUCGGGUGGCUUUAGAGUGACUUUUCAAGUCAUACAAGAGGGUGUAAUUCUAGAAAAGGUUCCCUCAGUGCAGUGGGAAUCUUAUACAGUGAUUUGAGCUGUUUUAUCCUGGGGACGUCGUGGUUGAUAGUCUGCUUGCACAAUUUUUUUGCAGUGUCACGAAACGUCUUAAAGAAAGCGACAUUGUCCGUGACUCAUCCAGUAAUUUUUUCGGUUUGCCAUAAACUAUUGUUACAACAUUUUAUGCUCUAUAAGGGAUAUCAGUAUUAUAGAUUCUUUGAUAUCGUAUUUAAUUUUUAUGAAUAAAAAAUUUUAACAUCUUAAUUUUUUUUAUAUUGUAUUCAAUUUUUAUGGAUAAAAAAAUUGUAAUAUGUUAAUAAAAGUUUUUUUUGGCCUUGAAAAAGAAAACGUUUUGUAUCUUAUUUUAGCUACUUUAUUUAUUUAAUGUGAGUAAAUCCAUGCCCAAUAACUACGUUAGUCUAUGCCCCGCCGUUCAUUAGGUUUUCAACUAGGUUUUAGCAUUUCUUUAUUCUGAUGACCUUUUUAAUUACACUGGAUCUUAGGGCCGAGAAAGGUAUCGAUGACCUUUUAAGUUUUAAUUGAAGCCUUUGCUUCGCAUAGACAAAACUAGAUUAAAUCUAAUUUUAAAUAAAUGAAUUAAAGCUAAAUUACUUUUUUCAAUUUUUUUUAUCAAACCCAUUUAAAAUUAGUUUUAGAACCAAUGGUUUAAUUCAAAAUCACUUUUUAUACCAAAUCUUAUAUCUGAAUAUUUUUUUUUAUAAUCAUGAUAUCAAUAUAAAUUUGUCCACCCGAAACUAAUCAAAAAUAUUCAUGGGAGACCUUGAGCGCACAUAAUUAUUGGUUACAUAUAUUUGAAUAUGCUUUUUGAUUUAGUUUAAAAUUAGUUUCAAAAAUGAAUUUUGUUAAAAAGAAAUUGGAUUUAAAACCAAUUUUAGUCCAAAAUCGCUUUUAAAAUUUCGCAUGGACAAAACUAGAUUAAAUCUAAUAGGUUUUGCUACUACUGGUUUGAUUUAAAUUAUGAUUUGGUAACCCUUUUUUUAAAAGUGACCAAUGAGCUUUUAAAACCUAACAUUUCAUUGCAAAUUAUCUAAACUCUCAACCAGUAGACCAGUAGUAGCAAAACCGACCCAAGUGGAUUACAGCCCUAUUGCUCUAAAAUUAAGCAAGCAAAGAAAAAAAAAGAAAUUUUUGUGCAUUAGUCACAUAAGAUUAAGAGCUGAAACAAUUUAUAAUUUAUAUGUCAGACAAAAUUGAAUUUGAAAUGAAAUUCUGUUUAAUGUCAGGGGCCUAUACUACACAUUUCUUUAGUAUGAUUGAGAUGCCAUCUACUCUUCUCACUAGUUAGUUGGUGAGACAGAGGAUAGGAAAAUUUUCUAGGGAACAUCUAUGAUGUAUCAAUUAUAAUCAAUUUUUAACUGAAAUUAACCACUUUUUGAGGCUCCAUUUUUGUCCUAGUUUUAUCUGGGGAAUGGCUUUCUUCUGUUUCUUUCCUUUUGUUACUGAUUUGUUGGUCUUCCCCAUCCUUAACUUUUGAUUUCAUCAAAUGUGGCCUCAGCUUGUUUACAUCUGACUGUUGAACUGGUUUCAGAAAGAAUUCAUCAGCUCCCUCUUCUAGGCAUCUGGUACAAACAAAAAUGAAUGUCUUGUUAGAUUUGAAGUUCAGUCAUGGAUGCAAUCCAAAUUUUUGAAUUGGCUAAAAUAUGUUUUGGAUCCCUCAUAAAUGAUCAUUUUUUAUUUUGGGUCUCUAAUAAUUUUUUUAUUGUAUUGGAUUCCUGAUAUAAUUGGAGGUAAUUUUCCUCACCUGUUAAUCCUUGCUGGGACAUUCUCUGAGGACAUAAUCACCACUGGUAUGUCUUUAAGAGAUUUAGAUUCCUGCAAAUCAAUAACUUCAUGUUAUUAUUUUUCUAAAAUCAAACCAGGGAAGAUAUACAAGUAAUUGAAGGUUGUUAUGACAUCACAAAAAUGGUUUGAGAUGUUAUCAUGAAAGGUUGGCAAAUAUCUCAUUUGAUUAUGUUAUUUCUGAAAUCAGAUCCCAUUAUUUCAAAUUUUAUACUGGAUACCCGGAGAAAAAAAUUAAUCAAAUUUAGUUUAUAAUUUGGGAAAAAUUUUAUGAUGUACGCAAAUUUUGGAAUUGAGGAGGAAAUAGUGAAAUAUUUUUUUGAAAUAUAAACUAGAUCAAUCACAUAAAGAAGAGAAACACAGGCGGCUUUUAUCCGUCUAAAAAUAUCCAAGGAGUUUUUUGUACCUUGAUCUUUCUCAGCAGAUCAUAGCCAGUCAUUUCUGGCAUACAGUAAUCAGUUAUGAUCAGGUUUACUUCUACAUCCUGCAGCAAUCAGAAGUAAAAUGAUUAGAUUAUGCAUCUUUCUAACUUGCCCAAUAAAAAAGUUUAAAAUAUGUAAGUAUGAGUAGCAUUUAGUAAUCAAUAACACAUGAUAUAUGAUAUAAGUGAUAACGGUUACUGGUUACUGAUUGACCAUUGAAUAUGAAAUAAAUAAUAUAGGAAGAAUAAUACUCAUUUUAUGUGUGCUCGAAGCCCCCAAUAAAAAUUAAUCACCACUUUUAUACCAAUACCAUGUUAAAAAAAAAAAAACAGCAUUUAGUGACUUUGCAAGAGAAUUGUACCUGAUGGGAUUCUAGAGCAAUACAGGGAGGAGGCUCCUCAUUUCUCUUCUCUUCAACCAAACCAAGAAACUUCAAAGCCUUACUACCAGAAUCCACAGCAGUAACUGUAAUUACAAAACAUACCAAAAAUGAAUUAGAUUUCAAAUUAGGCAAAACCAAAUUGCCCCUUCAAGUAAUGUAACAUAAAAGACCAAAGAAACCACAUAGUUAUAUGAUUAAUUUCUUUGAUCAAAUAGCAAUCUAAGUCCAUGUUUUUAUAGAAAAAAAAUUACCAUGAAAGGAAGAGGUUUUGAGGAGCCUCUCAAUCAGCAUUCUGUCAAUAAGGCUAUCAUCAACAGCCAGAACAUGGAACUGAGCUUCUGCAGCCAUACCCAUGAUUUUUAUGCUGAUGUGAAAAUGCAAGCCAAAAACAAAGGAAGCAAGGGAGAAUAACAGAAAAAAAGAAGGAGGAAGAGAUAAAUGAAUAAGAAUAGAAGGGUGAAAAGUGAUGUGAUGAAGAUGAAGGAGGGUGGCAUGCACAUUUUAAAAGGGGGCACACAUCAUGGUCAAGAAGGAUACAAAAAUCCACCAAGGAAAUCUGACAGUUUGGAAAGCAAGAUCCGACAGAUUUCAUCAAGAAUCUGGCGGAUCUUCUGGGGUUGAUUUUUGAAUUGAAAAACAAGCAAAGAAAGGUGCUGUUUAUUGUACCAAACUCAAAAUCUGACUUGUUUAUUACUAUUAUUAUUAUUAUAUUAUUCUAUUUGACCCUUUUGCUUAUUGUUAAAGACAAAAUUAUUGAAGUGAAUAAAUAUAAUUCAAUUGAUAACACACGCUACUAGAGAAUAUUUGAGUUUGAUUUCUAAAAAAAUCACUCUUGAGGAGAUGUAAUAAGUUUUAAACUAUGUUCUACGAGAUAUUUUAGUUAAUUAUUGAAGUGAAUAAGUAUAUUUCAAUAAAUAAUUUUUUUAAAAUAAUUUCUAAUUUUUUUAACACUAAUUGAAGUAAUUUUUUUAAAAUGUCCCUUUCUAGUUUUUUAUUUGUUAUUUUUUUAGCCUUAAAAUAUUUAUUUAAAUUUUUAUAAUCCUUUUUAAAUAUAUUAUUUUAUAUUUUUAAGUUACUUUGACAGUAAUUUUAUCGAAUACUUAAAUUUAAUAAAAUAAUUUUUAACUUCUAGCUGUCUUUUAACUUUUGAGCCUCCGGUUAAAUUUGUCUAAUAUAAUCUUAAGUAUGACAUAAAUGGUUAAAAUUUAUAAAAAUAUUUAAGUUCCUACCAAAUAAUCAAAUGUUGUAAUUAAGGUGAUUAAUAAAAGAGAUAAAACUAUAGGGGUGUGCUACACUGUUCUCUUCCCCCUACUAUUGCCCUUUCACGAGACCAAACCAUCAUUGUUCACUGUUCAUCAGAGUCGUGUGGACUCUAUUCUAUUCCAUGCACGUGCAUGACCUGCCUAGCACUAAGUGACCCACGUACUAGUACAACUAUACAAGCCAGUACAAAACGUAAUUUUCUUGCUUUAUUACUAUUAUGAAAUGUUUGUAUCUAGUCCUUUUUUUAAGAGCCAAUAUUGACCUCAUAUAAACAAUAUACUAGAAUUUUCAAACUUCAAUGGUCCCUAACCGAUUCUGUUGCUCUUUCUUAGAACAUUCCACUAUUCUAGUUUUUUUCUUAUUUAAUUAUUUACUCGUAGACCCUAUUUGAUUUGCUUCUCUUUUCCGAGUUUUAAAUUUUCUAAUAUUAAAAUAAUUAGAGAAAGAAUUUAGACAAGAAUGGUAGUUACAAGCCUUUGAUAUUCCAAAAUUACCCUCUCAAAUUAGGCUGUCCUAAAAGAAUACUCUUUUGUCUUCUCUGUCACAAAAUCAGCAUUGUUCUGUCACCGGCAUAUAUAAUUGACUUUCCAAUUAUUCCUUUUUUUUAUCUCGAAUUUUCUUUUCAGGGGUCAAUAUUUAUUAUUUUAAAAGAUAUAUAUAACUGGAGCAGGAUCGUGUGAGUGAUUAAGCAAUUGCAAAUAUUUCAUUUUCUGAAUUUUUUUUUUUGUGCAAAUCAUCUGACAGCAUAGAGUAGAAAGAAAAAGAAAUAUUUCAGUGUAAUAUUUGGCCAGAUUGUAUUAUUUUGGUCAGUAAGUGAAAUAAUAUCUGAUGCACGACAAGUCCUCCCUUGAUGGAGGGGCCAUGAACACCUUGGGGGCAUUCAUAGAAUCAUUUGCGAUAUUUUUAAUCUUUUUCGUUUGAAGCAUAUUGGAAUAUAUGAAUAGAAAAUAUAUUGGAAAAUAUUAACUGUCAAAUCCUUUUACUUAAUUGGGGGAGCUUUUUUUGUUUUUUUAUUAGGCAUAUGAAAGUUGGAAAUAAUAAUAAUAAUAAUAAUAAUAAUAAUAAUAAUAAUAAUAAUAAUAUGCAGAAAAAAAUUUAGAAUGAAUUGUAACAAAAAAAAAAUUGUAGAACGAAUUAAAACUUUUGAUUUGGAUUAAAGAGAAUCGAAGAAUGAAUUAAUUUAACGACUUUCUUUAAUUAAUUAAAUCAUUUUAUAAGUGCAAUUAAUCCUUAAAAGAUGAAUGGUAGUCACAUACACUCUCUAACACCUUCUUUUGGAUAUUUUUUUAUGAUCGGUUAGAAUGGAAUGAAAAUCACUCAUUUUGCUAUAUUUUGUUUCUUUCAAUUAAUGUUUUUCUCUUCUUAUUUAUAUUAAAUGAGAAAUAAAGCCUACCAAAAUUGAUAAUUUUUAAUAAAUUUUAAUCACAAAUCAUAAAAAAUAUCUAAAAGAAAAUGUCAAAGAAAGUCUUACUAGCAUUUCUCGUCCUUAAAAUCACUAUAUGCCAAAAAAUAAAAUUCUCAAAAUCACUAAACAGAUUUUACAACACAGGGAAUGAAUUUCAAAAAUAUCAAUAUCAAUUUUGAUAGAGUAUGAUUUUUUACUUCAAAUUCGUGAAUUAUUUGAUUACCGCAAGAUUUUAAGAGGAAAAACUUAUUUUGAUUUUAGAUUGAAAUCAUCAAUUUGUGUGAGGGAAGAUUUGAGAAUAUAAAUAUCUACCUAAGAACCUGAACCCACAGUGUACGUAAUAGUAUAAACUUGNNNNNNNNNNNNNNNNNNNNNNNNNNNNNNNNNNNNNNNNNNNNNNNNNNNNNNNNNNNNNNNNNNNNNNNNNNNNNNNNNNNNNNNNNNNNNNNNNNNNUUAACAUACAUCGAUUCUUGGGAAGGUCAGGAAAACCUUCUCCGUCAUACCUAGUUUUGAUAUUCUAAGUAACACUUAAGCUAUAAGUUAUUGCAGCAUUAUGUAGUUGCAUAAAUGGAUUAAGUUAAAUAAUUAGUUUACAUUGAGCAUAGGAAUAAGAUAAAGCCAUAAAGAUGUUUUCUGGUACGUGCCUACAAACAUUAAAUGAUCGGGCACUUCUGUUACGUGGGUGGAUAAAAAAUUUAACAUGUCAAAACUAAUUAAUUAUUCACCUUAUUAUCUGACAUUUUUCUAAUGUUUUUUUUAACAAAUACUUUUUCAAGAGUUUAUAAUUAUUUUAAAACCCCAUAAUGUCAUUUUGCAUAAAAUUAACUAAUUUGGAUGACAUACUUGUAAAAAUUCUUUCACGUUGAUUCUUUAGAGUUAUCAAGUGGCCUGUGGACAUGCCAAUCUCAAACCAUCCUAUAUAUGAAACCCUAGUGUCCAACCAAUUAGCGAAGAUUGAAUCUUAAAUAGUAAUCACCAAUUAGUGAAGAAAAUAUCCAAAUUCCCCAUUUGUUGGACCAUUCUUCACGUGUGAAAGUAACUAAUCCCAGGACGGAUCCAGAGUGUUAGGUGGCCGAAUUUUAUUUUACAUAGUUAUUUAAAAAUAAAAUCUAUUACUAGAAAAUUUUAAAACAAAUAUCAACUUAAAAAUCUAUUUUUCUUAUAUAGUUUUCUUUAUUGAUAUUUUUAAUUUAUUUUUUCUUUCUUUUCUUGGAUAUACAAAAAGGAUCUUAAAGGAGGAAGGGAAGGACAAGGCCCCUGCUUUCUCCUGGACCCAUCCCUAACUAAUCCGUUACUAGAAUCAGACGUUUUGUAUAUCCAUCAAAUUGAAAACCUAUAACAUUUUGUUAAUUAUUUGUUGUUUGUUAUCAUAUGCUUUGUUGUUGUUACCAAAGAGGUCUAAUUCAGUUGAUUGAACAAAGUGUGUGAUUGUUAUAGACUUCAUGAUUAUUAGUCAUAUUUUUUCUUAUGCAUGGAUUUAUGUUAAUAAUUGACAAAUUUACAAUCAGUUGGUGGGAUAAAUGAAGGAAGAGACAUGGUGUUCAUUUGUGUGUGUGGCAAUGAAUUUGUUAAAUUAUAGUAUAUAAAACUUGUUUUUCAAUGAGCAGUUUUGUAUCUUUGAAGUUGAUAUCAAAAGUGCACAGAAUAUGGUUCUGAAAGGUAACCUUCCCCAAGUCAUGGAUCGAUCUGCCUUCUGUGGAAGAAAGGUAUUGGCGUAUUGCUUGUGUAGACACUUUGCGACAAUUAGGACAUAUGAGAGGAAUAUACGAAAGAGAUUUUUCCAGUGACCUGUAAAGAAAAGUGAAUAGAAAUGAUGUAUAGUUUUAGUGAUGGUUUUGUUUUUGUUCUGCAGUUUUAGUGAGUGUAGGAAUAAUUUCUUUUUGUUGGCCACGGAUUUGUCGUAUCUAGGGUUGAUGGACCUCUAGAACGUGUUGUAACAAACCCUAAAAAUAUCACUGGGAUGAUUCCAAAUGAGAGAGAUAAAAAGGAGCUUGAAAUAGAUCCUACAAGAGUUGUGAUAUGUGUCUACUUCAAAAUGGAAUGGAAAUAGGAGAGACAAAUUAGAUCAAGAAAGAAGAGAGGUAAAGGAGAAAGUAAAAGAUAAAUAUGAUAAGUGAUGUGAUUAAAAAGCUAGGUUUUGAAAGAAAUACAAACAAAUAGGAUGAAAAUAUGAUAGGAGAAAAAGUAAAUAUUUGUUUAUAUUUUUUCCUUAAAAGUGGUACUUUAAAAUUAUAAAAAAGAUUAAAAUUAAAAAGAGAAGAGAUGUACUUCAAUCAGGCAGCUAGACAUUAUUUCUUUUGUCUAUUAUUAAUUAGCCACGAGUAUGUAGCUGAAUUGAAUUUCAAGCAUAACUAAUUCAUGAACUGUUACUUCAUCUUUGUUGGACGAUGUUGUAAAUUUGGUUUAUUCAUUGUCCUUAUUGCUAAUAUGAAACUUAUUCUUCAAUUUUUCAAGCAUGAGGUUAUACUUUGGUGGCAUGUAACAUGCAAUGAAUUAAUUUGGUCGGUGAACAACUUUUGUACAUAAUUGGCUCAAGGACAUAUGGAAGUGUAUUUUGUACAUACAACAAGAAAGAUAUUUUACGUGAGUGACUUAAAGAAAUGAUCGAUAAUUUUUUAUUCAAUAAUAAUUUUCCUAAUUUCAAAUAUCCAAAUUUAUUACCAGUAACAUGCUGUCUAAGUAGCAUUAAAUUUGAUUUUUUUAAAACAAAGAUUAUGUACGUUUUAAUUAGUUUUUAAUUUUUUUUUACUGGUUUGUUUAUAUUUGAUAAAUAAAUUUUAUUAAUAAUUUUUAAUGUUUUGUAAAACAUUACUUAAAGUAUAUAUGAUUUUUUUAAAAUACUAACUUCUAACUUUUAACUUUUUAUAUUUUCUUUAAUAUAUUUAUCAAAUUUUUUAAUUACCUUUUAUAAAAUAAAUAAUGAUUUUAUUGUUUUUAUAUUAUUUUAUAUUUUUUAACUAUUUCAAUAACUAAUUUUAUUGAACACUUAUAAUAUAAUAAACUAAUUUUUUAACUUUGAGGUACAUGCCAACUUUUAAUUUUCAACUAAAUAUUAUUAAACAUAUCUAAAAUUUCAGAUUCAACUCUUAUAUGAAUAAUAAAAACGUGAUUAGAAUGAGAGAUUUCACCAAAUAUAACCCACUAUGAAGAUUAUCAUUAACUAAAUCGGUUAAUAUACUCACGAUACCAAUUAGAUGAUAAAAAAAGAGUUAAUUUUACUAAUUAUUAAUGGAUAUACUUGUCCAUAGUAAGAAUAAUAGUGAUAAGAAAGAUAAUCUAAUACCAACAAUCUCUGGACCACUAGACAAAUGAUAUAUGCAAGUUGCAAGGAAACCAAGAAGAUUGCGAUAAUAUGGAUGUGGAAUUGUGAAGAUCAGCUAUUGAUUAAUUAUUGUUAGCAUAGCAUCCCAUCAGAUUCAGAUCCCAAUUAGAGAUAUGGUGACUCAGGUGCCACCUUUCCUUAAUGGGCACACCACGUGCUUAGAUAUACAAUUUUUUUGUGUGCAAUAAUAAUCCUGCGUCAUCGAUCAGGACCACAUAUUGAACUUUGAUUACAUAUCUUAUAUGGAUUGGUUGGUUUUGCCUGUUGCAGAUCUUGUUUGGACUUUGCGAGAGAAGCACUUAUUUGAAGCAAUAUUACGGACAUAAGAACGGACACAAAAUAAAACGAAAUUAAUGUUUUUGUUUGGCUGCUUCCAGUGGUUUAGGAUCCAUUUUUUGGUGAGUUUCCGAUGGUUUAGGAUGAGUGGUAUUGCAUAUUUUAUUUUAUUUUUAUCAUGGUAUUGUAUGUUUUAUUUUAUUAUUGUUUUGAUUGUGUCAUCCCCACAUUGAGGAAAUUAAAGAAGUGAGAUUAUAGAGGGGAUGAAGUGCUAAGUGCGUAAAAUAUAUAUCUAAGAUGAUAUGCCCUUUUUUUUACAGACGGUGAUAUGCCGUUUUUAAAAUCCUACACCCUUAAUUCAAAAGGUUUCUUUAAUUAAUGUGUCAAAAAGAUAUUUUUACAGAAGAAAAAUAUUAUAAACUUUAAUAAAAUAAAUAAUUUCACGAUGUCCAAUCUCUUUGUCUCUAUCUUUUAUUAAAAAAAUGACAUAUUUUGUGUCACUAUACAUCUAGUGUUAGAAGAGAAGGAAAAAUUAGAAAGGAUAAAAUAAUAAAAUUAGUAUCGAAUUAUUGUUUUUUUAUCUCUUAUAUAAUUUUUUAUAUUCAUGUAAAAAAUAAUCUUAUAGGAAUAAUAAAUAUUUUUUUAUGAAAGCAAAAAUAAAAUUAUUAAAUAUGUUCAAGUAAAAAAGUUUAUGUUGUGAGGGUAAUUUCUAAAAAUAGUUUGAACAAUAUUGCAUGACGUGCUGAUUAGAUGAAGGAAUACAUGAAUGUAGAAAUAGAUGAAAAGGAUAUUGGAAAUUUAAAAAAUGACUAAAAGAUAAUAAAACAGAAUAUUAAUUUAAGAAUAUUAUUCAUAUUUGAUUUUUUUUAAGGAUUAUUAAAAUUUAAAUUUUUAGAGACUAAUAUUAAAAUUUAAUUUUUUCUAGAAGCAAUAAAACAUUUUUAACUAAAAUGACGUAAACAAUACAUUGUUACACAGUUAUGCGACAUGUGACUAGCACUUAGUUGCUACAUCACACAAGGUAUCCACGUGUAUAAUACUAUCAUGUAGUUAGGUUAGAUAAGUCAACAUUUGUCUCUCAUAAUUAACUAAUUUGAAAUGAAACUAUUUUAACUUAACUUGAGAUGUUAAGUUUAAAUUUUAAAUAUAUAAUUAUAUUAAAUAUUUAGAGGAAAAUUCUGAUACUGAUAGUAAUUUUAUCAUGCUUCAACAUAAUAUUUUUUAAUAAAUAAUAUAUGUGAUCUAUACCAGAAAGACAAGUCAACAUCUGAUAACUCAAAAUAUUAAAAUUGUUGACAACAAAUAAAUAAGGAAUUAAAAGAUGUGAAAAUUUUGAUAAAAACUAAACCAAAACUAAAUAGAAAAAAGAAUACGCAUUGAUAGUUUAAAAUAAUGUUAUAUUCUUAUUAAUCACAAACCAUCGUAUAUAUAAUAAGUUUAUUAACUUUUAAAUUACUUUAAAAAUAAUAUCCACUAUGAUUUAAAAUUGAAUAAUUAUAUAAAAUUAUUUUAUAUAAGAAGCAUAUGACUAUUAAACCUAAAAUUAAAACUCUACAUUUAGAACUGUACGGUGAUGAAACACAUAUCUAAUCAAAUGUGGCUGAUUUGAGUAUAAUUUAUUUCUAGAAUAAGAUUUUGUGUUUGAAUUUUACGGAUGAAAAAAAAACUUAAUUAAUUAGAAAAAAAAAGACACUACUAAAAGUGAAAAAAUCAAAUUUCUUGACAUAUAUUAAAUAUCAAAGCUAGUAAAAACUAUAACAUAGUGACCCAAAAAAAAAAAAUCUAACCUGUAAUUUUAUUUUCUUAAAAAAAACAAAAAAACAUUUGUAAUUUCAGAAAUAUUCUAAUGGCAUUUAUAUAUACAAAAUGACCGAUAGUUUUUUUUAUUAUCAAGUCCAAUAUCAAUAAUAUAUAAAUUUAAUUACUGCUUAAAAUUAUGAGUAUUGAUUAAUUUAGUUUCUAAAAUUAUAUAAACAUGACUUUAAUCCAUAAAACUAUUAAAUAAUAGGAAUUGUUUUAUCGAUACUUCUAAACAAUUGAUUCCUAGCCAUUUGAUUAUUGAAAUGGCUUGUUAAUAUAUAAGUACUUUUAAUUAGUAUAUACUUUUAAUUUUUAUACUAAUAAUUUGUGAUUGAAUGAGAAUAUAAAAAAUUACAUGAUCAUUAAAUUCUUAUUUUUUUUCAAUUUUCAUGCAUUAUUAGUAAAAAGAUUUAAACAAUAUUAAUGAAUUAGAAAUCAUUCUAGGCUUCACUUUUACAAUAGUUAUUAUAAAAAUUAAUAAAUUUAUUAUAAUUACAUAGAAAUUUAUAACUAGAUGAGAAUAAAAAAAUUAAUUAAAUUCUUAUAUUUUUAUAGUUUGAAUUUAUAUUUAUAUCAUUAAAAUACUUCUUUAGAAUUAUUUUUUAAAUUUGUAUAAUUUUAUACUUCACAUAUAUCUAUAAUCUUGUGUAUUACAUACAUAAAAGAUUUAUCAUGCGAUAAGAUUGCAAUUAGAUGGAAUUUUUUUUUUUGGUGAAAAUUAGAUGGAUAAAUAACACAAGAUGAUUUGACAUAAACAAAAUCAAUAAUGAAAAUCAGAAAAUAAAUAAAAACCAAAGUCUUCAAUCUUUUGUAUGCAUGCACACAUUUCAAAUUUAAAUCAAUAUUUUUUACUAUAUUUGAUAAAACUAAUUGAAAAAUUAGUUAGUACUACAAAUUAAAAUAUGGAAAAUUAGUUUAUUAAAUUAUAAGUGUUUCAUAAAACUUGUUAAAAUAUCUGAAAAAUAUAAAAUUACAGAAAAUUAAUAAAAUCAUAAUUUAUUUAAAAAGGAUUAUAAAAAAAUGGAUAAAUAUAUUUAAGAAUAAAAAUAAAAGAAAAUAUAAAAAAUUAAAAGAUAAAAUUUAACGAUUUUAAAAAAAAUACUUUAGGUAGUAUUUCGAAAAAGAUAAAGACUACUAAAAAAAUUUAUUUAUCAAAUAAUAAAACAAGUUUUUAACUAAUAAAAAAAUUAAAAAUUAGUUGAAAUGUGUUAUCCAAACAUAUCAUUUAUCGUGAUAAUAACGUGAAAUUAUAGAGUAAUUGGAGUUUAAUUAACCAAUGUGUUGUUGAUUUAAUGAAGUUGCAAUCUUGGAGGGAAAGGAAUUGAAGACACAUUAUAAUACCGUGUCCCAUGCAUGCGCAAAUCAAAACCACGCGUAUUAUAGUGCCUAAGGUUAUCAGAUCGAUACAUGAUGUUUUCAUUUCCAUCUCAUUCUUUUUCACUUUGCACAUGCAUGUUUCCAAAAAUUUUCUGGGUGAGGUAUACACAAAGUCAAAAUCAACGCAUUAGUAUUCUUUGUUUCAAUCAAAGACCACACAGCGAUCACGGGAUCAAAUCUUCUUUAAUUAUGCUAGUCGUUGAAAAAAGAAAUUCCUCUUUAAUUAUAUUAGUCGUUGAAAAAUUGAAAAUUUUAAUCAACGUUUCUUUUAAGUUUCAACUUUCAAUGAUUUAAAUCAAAUGAUUAAACAAAAAUAGUUAAUACCUUAAAGUUAAGGUUUAAUACUAUAGUAAUAUUAUUAUAUAUGUAUGGAAUCUUUCAUCAGUAGCUGAUAUGCAAUUUCUAAUAAAGGAUGUAUCAAAAUUAAAAAUUAAAUCGCAAAUAAAAAUUCCUUUGAGAACAAUAAGUAACCAUUUUAAGUAAUGCCUUCUUUGAAAACAUAAACAAAAUGUGAGAGUUUAAUUCUGUUUUGUGUGGUGUAGAUUUAUUUGUACUUUGAAUAUAAGAGAGUAACAGAAUUUUAAAAAUUCUGUUAUAAGUGCUAGCCUAAAUGUGACGGGUUGUUACUCUGUUCUGCAUGUAUAAAAGGACAUACAUACAUCUUAAUAAAGAGGAUUAUUCAUUCUAUCAUUUUCUUAGUCUCUAGUGCUAUUCCUAGUGUGUAGGUGUGCAAUUCUUUGCUUGAAAACAGUGAGUGAUACACGAGUGAAUGUGUGAGGGAGUGAAUUGCAUCUCUUGCAAUUGAGUGAGGAACAGGGUGUGUUCCAACAAUUGGUAUCUAGAGCAUUGAUUUCGAUAGAAGGGGCAAGAAUCGCUAAAGAAAGGUUCUCGGAGGUGUUCUUAAAGGAGUUCUUUGAUGGCUGCAGUAUCUGGCUCAAUUCCUGCAAAUCUACCAGUUCUCACAGGAAAGAACUAUGAAAAUUGGAAGAUUCAGAUCAGGGUGGUGAUGCGAUUCCAAGGGGUUUGGGAGUUCGUAGAAGAAGGUUAUAUACCUGUGGGAGAGAGAGCAACAGAUGAACAAAAGGCUGUUGAUAGAGAAAAAGAAAAGAAAGAUUGCAAGGCACUUUUCAUUUUGCACCAAAGUGUAGAUGCUGCUAGCUUUGAAAAGAUAGCAAUGGCUCAAAUCUCCAAAGAAGCAUGGGACAUUCUGCAGAAAUCUCAUGAUGGAGCCACAAAAACCAAGAAGAUCAAGCUGCAAACUCUGAGGAGACAAUUUGAACUACUUCAAAUGGAAAAGAAUGAAUCAGUUGCUGAGUACAUCACAAAAGUGCAGACAAUGGUGAAUUCAAUGAAGGGCUAUGGAGAAAAGAUAAUUGUGCAAUCAGUUGUAGAGAAGGUGCUUAGAACCAUGCCACCCAAGUUCGACCAUAUUGUGGUAGCCAUCAAGGAAUCCAAAAAUCUUGAAGAGCUUAGCCUAGAGGAAUUGCAAGGAUCUUUGGAAUCUCAUGAACAGAGAAUGAAUGAAAGGAUAAAUGAGAAGAAAAGUGAACAAGCCUUGCAAGCAAGGUCUAAUCCAAAGAAGCAUGGUGAUAGAUGGAAGAAAGAGAAAACUGAAGCAAAGAGCAAUAAAUGGAGGGGAAAUCAGAACAAUGAUAAGGACCACAAGAAAGGAGGGGGAUCCAAUUCCCAAAACUCUUCAAAUAGAAAGAAGUUCAACAAAAGAAGUAUUCAAUGCUUUAACUGUCAAAAGUUUGGACAUUUUGCUGAUGAGUGUUACAGCAAACCCAAUAACAAAAGAGAACCUAAAGGUGAUGAUGCAAAAUUAGCUCAGGAAGAAGAUGAUGACACUGAACAGGUACUGCUAAUGGUAACUAAUCAAAUUGAAGGGGCAAGUGAUAAUUGUUGGUACCUAGACACAGGUUGCUCCACUCAUAUGACAGGAAGAAGAGAGUGGUUUCUCAACCUUGAUCAAUCUGUGAAGAGCCAAGUCAAAUUUGCUGAUGAUAGAAUCUUGACUGCUGAAGGAAUUGGGAAAGUCCUUAUCAAAACAAAGGAUGGAGGUCAGUCUUGCAUCACUGAUGUACUUUUUGUACCAAGUAUGAAAAGUAAUCUCCUCAGCUUAGGCCAAUUAUUAGAAAAGGGCUUUAUGACUAAGCUUGAAAACAAGAUGUUGACAGUGUUUGACAGAAAUCACAAGCUCAUUUUGAAGUCCCUUCUUUCAAAAAAUAGAACAUUUAAAAUUGAGAUUGAUGUGAUAGAACAUAAGUGUUUUACCACUACAGUAAACAGUGAAGAGUGGUUAUGGCAUUACAGAUUUGGCCAUUUAAAUUUUAGAGAUCUGAUUAAGCUAAACUCAAGAGAAAUGAUGUUGGGUUUGCCUCAGAUCAAGCCUCCUAGUGAAGUAUGUGAUGGUUGUUUACAGUGUAAGCAAUCAAGAAGCACUUUCACACAAAAUGUACCAAUCAGGGCAAAGGAGAAACUUGAGGUGAUUUACUCUGAUGUGUGUGGCCCUAUGCAUACUGAAUCUCUUGGUGGAAACAAAUACUUCAUAUCCUUUAUUGAUGAAUUGACUAGGAAAGUAUGGGUUUACCUAAUAAGAAGGAAGAGUGAUGUCUUUGAAGUCUUUGAGAAGUUCAAAAAUAUGACAGAAAAGAAAAGUGGCUCAUUGAUCAAGAUAUUGAGAACAAAUGGUGGUGGUGAAUAUGUUUCUGCAUAAUUUCAAGAAUUUUGUGAUCAAGAAGGCAUAAUUCAUGAAGUGACUCCUCCCUACACACCUCAACAUAAUGGAGCUGCAGAAAGAAAAAAUAGAACCAUAAUGAAUAUGGUAAGGAGCAUGUUGAAAGGCAAGAGUCUACCCAAGUACUUGUGGGGAGAGGCAGUGUCUACAACUGUCUUCAUCUUGAAUAGGAGCCUUUCAAAGAGAUUGGAAGGAAUAACACCUAAAGCAGC